UAGUUGGGAGUUUUCUUUCCUUGUUUAAUUAUUUGUGGAACGUCUAUAUGUUUUUGACCAAGUUUACCUGAAUGAUUCUCUGAAAUCCACUAAGAAUGGACUUCAAUGGUUUUAAGAUAUAUUAAUUUUCUCCAUAGUAUUUGAUUUCUAGGAUAUGUAGAAGUCUUUUGUGUUUGGACUAUUUACAAUAAAUUUUAGGGAAUUUCAAAGGAUGCUAAUAGCUAUGGUCUAUGACUCAGCAGUGCCUACUCUUUAUCCUGCAUUCAGCCAAAUUUCCUAGCAUCCCCAUUUUGCCAAAGUUUGUAUUCCUCUAGUGUAUUCUACUAAAUCCACCAAGGACCCCGUAUUUUUGGCCUUUCUGAAUGCUGAAUUUGGAAGCUUCCUCAGUGCUUAUGGGAGAAGAAAGAAAAAAUGACUGAGAAAGCAUCAAAUCUUGUUAGAAAGCAUGUGACUGAAUGUAGCAUAACAAAAAUUGUCGCCCUAGAUAGAUAAGAUUCAUCCAGUUGACCACAAUGGGUAUAAGCAAGGACUUCUAAUCUUUUUAUAGAGUAAUGGACAAUUAAAAAACUUUUUUUUUGCUUAUGCUUAUGCUAAACUCUGAAUUUUGUAGUUAAAUAGAUGUUAUUCUUAGAUGCGAUUCCUUGCAAUUAUUUCAACUGUGUACUUUGCAUAUCCAAUCUACUAUCCAAUAUCACAAAUUGCAUCCAUCAAAGGCAUUGAGCUGCCACUGCUUUGUGUCUUAUAUCCAAAUGUACCUUGUUUUAGCACAAUUUGUCAUAGGCUGUAGUGAACAAACAGCAGUUAUGAUUGUCCCUUGCUAUAUUGACAGACCUAUUAACAAGCAACAAAAAAGGCUUAUAUUCCCCUCCCCACGGUGCCCACCUCUAGGGUCAAAAAAAGAAAGAAUGCUAAGAUGUGUUAUAAUUUCGGGAAAGGAAAACGUCUUCAGAUUUUUGUUGUCUUGCUCGCAAUAGUUGUUGAAAGUUUUUUAAAAAGAAAAGAAAUAAAUAAAAAACUCUGCUUUUCUUUAUUUUCCCACACACCAAAUAUGCUUACAAGGUAGGCAUUUAUAGGACAACCCUCUUAUAGUUCUGCCACAACUUAAGGUAAUAGAACCAUGAUUUUAGGGAUUACAUAAUCAACUCAUAUCCUAUCUUCUAUUCAAACUUGAUUGAUCAUAAGCAAUAAAAUCCCAUAAUCAUGGGAGAUAAUCUCUCAUAAUCAUGGGAGAUAAUAUUUCAUAAUCAUAGGAGAUAAUAUCUCCUAUAAUCAUGAGAGAUAAUCAUGGGAUUUAAUAUCUCCCAUAAUCAUAGGAGAUAAUAUCUUCGACACCCCCCCCCCCUAAAGUUGGUGCAUAUAUAUUUAUCAUGCCCAACUUGCUUGUAAGAAGUUCAAAAUUUGGUCUAAAGAGUCCUUUGGUGAGAAUGUCAGCUAUCUGCUGAGCUGAUGGAACGAAUGGCAUGCAGAUAAUUCCUCCUUCAAGUUUCUUUUUUAUGAAGUGGCGGUCAAUCUCAAUAUGUUUGGUUCUAUCAUGUUGUACAGGAUUGUGAGCUAUGCUAAUUGCUGCCUGGUUAUCACAAUAGAGCCUCAUUGGAAGUUCAAUAGGUCUUUUCAGCUCCUCUAAAACUCUCUUCAGCCAUAACAUCUCACACACACCAUGAGCCAUAGCUCGGUACUCUGCCUUUGCACUACUACAAGCUACUACCCUUUGUUUCUUACUUCUCCAAGUAACCAAAUUGCCCCAUACAAAGGUACAAUACCCCAAGGUUGAUCUUCUAUCAAUGACUGAUCCUGCCCAAUCAGCAUCUGUAUAAGCUUCAAUGGUCUUUCGAUCUCCCCUUUUAAAGAACAAUCCUUUUCCUGGAGUACUUUUUAAGUACCUCGGAAUUCGAUAUACUGCAUCAAGGUGCUUUUCAUAUGCAGAAUGCAUAAACUGGCUCACAACACUCUCUGAAAAGGCUAUAUCAGGACGAUUAUGAGCCAAGUAAAUUAGCUUGCCUACUAACUUUUGGUAUCGAGCAGUAUCAACUGGUGUUCCAUCUUUUAUAUCUGUUAACUUGUGAUUCGGAUCCAUAAGAGUGUCUGCAGGUCGACAUCCACUCAUCCCUGUUUCCUUUAAAAGAUCCAAAACAUACUUGCGUUGGGACACAACUAUGCCUUUCUUGGACCGAGCUACCUCCAUCCCUAAGAAAUAUUGUAGUGUUCCCAAAUCUUUGAUUUCAAAGCUAGAAGCAAGACUUUUCUUCAACCACUUCAUCUCAAUUAAGUCAUCUCCUGUGAGAAUGAUAUCAUCCACGUACACAAUGAGUACUGCUAUCUUCCCGUCCUUGGAGUGUUUAACAAAUAUGGUGUGAUCACUCUGAGUUUGGGUAUAGUCUUGAUCUUUUACCAACCUAGUAAAUUUGUCAAACCAGGCCCUAGGAGAUUGUUUGAAACCAUAUAACGAUUUUUUUAGCUUGCAAACUCUAGACUGAAACUUUCCUUCAAAUCCAGGGGGAGAAUCCAUGUACACCUCUUCCUCCAGACCUCCAUUUAAAAAUGCAUUCUUGACAUCAAGUUGUUGGAGUGGCCAAUCAAGGUUUACUGCUAUUGAGGGAAGCACUCUAAUAGUGUUUAAUUUUGUCCCUGGAGCAAAAGUUUCAAGAUAAUCAAUGCCGUAGGUUUGAGUGAACCCUUUAGCCACCAAUCGAGCUUUGUACCGUUCCAAUGUCCCAUUGGAAUUAUACUUGAUGGUAAAGACCCAUUUACACCCUACUGUCUUUUUCCCUUGUGGCAGGUUUGUUACUUCCCAUGUUUGAUUCUUCUCAAAAGCAUACAUCUCCUCUUCAAUAGCCUUUCUCCACUCUGGAACUUGUAAUGCUUCCUGUGCAUUUUUUGGAAUUUUCACAGCAGAAAGUUGUGAAGUAAAUGUCAAGAAAGUAGGGACAGUUAGUCAUGGGGUGUUUUUGGUACAAGAUUCGAAGUGCAAUAGGAAGACCCAAAUCAGCCAUCUUUGAAUCAGAGGAAACUUUAUCUGAGGACUCAAAUACAUCAAAUUCUGCCCUAGGUUCGGAUUCUUUGUUGUGAAGAGAAGGGGGAGCUUUAUCUUUUCCUCGAUGAUUUUUCCUGACAUAGGUUUUCAAGUUUUUUUCAGUUACAUUCCCAUCUCUUUCACUAAGAGAAUUCGACUCUGUUAUUGGCACUAAAGACGAGAUCCUCUUCUAAUCCUUGAUCAAUUUUUUCAAGUUUUUCAAAAUCCUUUUGACGGGCAAAUUGAAGAGUAUCAUUUGAUUUUUCUGGAUUAUUAUCUUGAAAAGGUUCUUGUUGAGGAAAUUGUGCUGUAGAUUCUUCUAAAAAAUCAGAAAAAUCGAUUCUCCUAUCAGCAAAAUUUUGAUCAGGAAUUUGAUUUUCAAUACGAAAAAAUCAUCAUCUUCUACAAGUUCUUCUACAUGCCGAGUCCCCCCCAGAAGAGGAUCUCCAAAAAAAGGUUUAUCUUCAAAAAAUGUUACAUCCAUAGUUACAAACAUUUUUUUCGAAAUGGGAUCAAAGCAUUUAUACCCCUUUUGCGUGGGUGCAUAUCCAACAAAAAUGCACUUUUUUGCUUGAGGGUCUAACUUACUUCGACCUUGUUCAUGAUUGUGAACAAAGGCUAUGCACCCAAACACCUUUAAUGAGACUUCAUAUGUUAAUCGAGAAAUGGGAUAAAGUGUUUUGAAAAAAUUCAGAGUUUGGAAAUUCAAGGUUCUUGAGGGCAUUUUGUUUAUGAGAUAUGUAGCAGUUAAAAUUGCUUCGCCCCAUAGAUAUUUAGGAACAUUUCUUGAAAAAAGUAAUGUCCUCGCCACUUCUAAAAGAUGUUUUUUUUCUUUCAGCUACCCCAUUUUGUUGUGGGGGUAUCAUUGCAGGAGGUUUGAUGCACAAUUCCUUUUUCAAGAAAAAACCUUCCCAAAAUUUUAUUGAAAUGUUCUUUUCCAUUGUCACUCCGAACAAUUUUGAUUUUUUCUUGAAAUUGGGUCAAAACUAUGCUGUAGAAAUUUUAAAACACAGUUGCAACCUCUGAUUUCUCUCUUAACAUAUACACCCAACAAACUCUUGUGUGAUCAUCGAUGAAUGUAACAAACCAUUGUUUUCCAGACGGAGUUGAAAUUCUAGAGGGACCCCAAAUAUCAGUAUGUAAUAGAAGAAACGGUUUUGAUGGUUGAUAAGGAUGUAUAGAAAAUGUAGACCAAUGAUGUUUAGCCAAUUCGCAGAUUUCACAUUGAAAGGAAGAUGAAUCUUUAUUCUUAAACAAAUCUGGCAAUAAAUAUUUCAUGUAAUAAAAACUAGGAUGUCCUAGUCUAAAGUGCAAUAACAUAAUCUCUUUAUUACUAGUAAUAGAGACAGACCUGUAACAUGUGUUUUUGAUUGGUGUUGACAAAUUUGAUUCAUCUUCAAGGAAGUAAAGUCUCCAUUUUCUCUAGCACAUCCAAUCAUCCUCCCCGUGGUCAGUUCCUGAAACUCACAAAAAGAGGGGAAAAAAUUAAUCCGACACUUGAGAUCCCUAGUUAAUUUACUUAUGGACAGCAAAUUGCAUGAUAAAUUUGGAACAUGAACUCUAUGAAGUGUGAGAGUAGGAGAGAUGACAACGGAACUUAUGCCAACUAUGACGGAUAAUGCUCCGUCAGCAACCUUGACUCUUUUAUUGGCUGCACAUGGACUGUAGGUAGAAAAUAAUUGUGACUAACUGGUCAUAUGGUCAGUGGCCCCAGAAUCAAACCCAUACAAUCCGUGGACAAGAUGCAUUUGAUGUUUUACAUGAAAGAGCAACAGUAAAAAGAUUACCAUUUUUAGCAAAAGAACAGAAAGGAGUGAAGCUUUUUGGUUUAGUGACUGAAAAUUGUGGAGACUUAAAGAGUUUGUACAGUUGGUUUAAUUGUUCCUUUGUGAAGGCCAGUGUCUCAGAGUCAGUUUAUUGCUUUUGAGAAUCCUCAUUCACAGUCUGCAAUACCUUGCUAUCACCUCCAUUUUUCUUCUUGAAAUUCGAUGGUUUCCCAUGUAAUUUCCAGCACGUGUCCUUUGUGUGCCACGACUUUUUAUAGUGUUCACACCAAGGCUUCCUUCGUUUAUCUCCGUUCAAAUCUGUUCCCUUAGAAACCAAUGCUGAAGUCUUAACUUCACACUCUGCCUUGGACUUUAGCAUCACCUUACGCCUUGAUUCUUCUCUUCUGACCUCAGAAAAUACUUCACGAAUGGAGGGAAGAGGCUUCCUGCCCAAAAUACGACCUCGCACCUCAUCAAGUUCUUGAUUUAGUCCAGCCAGGAAGACAUAGACUCAGUCAUUCUCCUCCCAUUUCUUGUAUCGAACACUGUCUGCACGGCAGUCCCAUUCAUCCUCAUAACAAAGAUCCAAUUCCUGCCAUAAAGUUACCAUCUGAUUGUGUAAUAGGUUGUAACAUCUCUAUCUUCUUGUCUUGAUUUUCACAAUUUCGUCUUGAGAUGGAAAAUUUGAGACGAAUUCUCUAUAUCGGAAUACAUAUCCCGGACAGCGUCCCACACAUCUUUGGCUGUGGGCAAAAAUAAGUGUGGCUUUCUUAUCGCUGGUUCCAUAGAGUUUAUCAACCAAGCAAUAACUAGAGAGUUCUCUGAAUGCCAUCUCUUCAAAUUGGGAUCUUCAGUAGCUGGUUGUUGAAUUUCUCCAGUAAGGUGGCCGAGUUUACCUCUGCCAUCAAUAGCCAGUUUUACGAAUUGAGCCCAUUCCAGAUAAUUGGAACCAUUUAAUUUAUGAACGGUUAUUUAUAGGGAAGGAGAAUUUGAAGCAGAGUAAUCUGUAGUUUGGAUAACUACUGAAGACGAGGAUGAGUCUUCUCUUGUGUGAGCAGUAGAUCCAGUUAUGGCUGCUCGGUAGUUCAUGGCAGGAAUUCGUACAGAGCCGGAGCUCUGAUACCAUGAAAGUUUUUUAAAAAGAAAAGGAAAUAAAUAAAAAACUCUGCUUUUCUUUAUUUUCCCACACACCAAAUAUGCUUACAAGGUAGGCAUUUAUAGGACAACCCUAUUAUAGUUCUGCCACAACUUAAGGUAAUAGAACCAUGAUUUUAGGGAUUACAUAAUCAACUCAUAUCCUAUCUUCUAUUCAAACUUGAUUGAUCAUAAGCAAUAAAAUCCUAUAAUCAUGGGAGAUAAUAUCUCCCAUAAUCAUAGGAGAUAAUAUCUCCCAUAAUCAUAGGAGAUAAUAUCUUCGACAGUUGUGACAGAUGCCUUAAAAAAAUUAAAAAAUAUUUGUGACAGAUGAAAAUGCAUACAAGAGAAGAAUUACAAUUUGAUUUUUCUAGUUAAAGUGAUGUUAUACUUAGAUGUUAUUCCUGCAAUUAUUGCAAAUGGAUACUUUGUAUUUCCAGACUACUAAUAAAUAUCAACAAAUUGCAUCUGCCAGUGCCUUGAUCUGCCACUGCCUUGUGGCUUAUAUCCAAAUGUGGCUUGUUUUAGAACAAUUUUUCAUAGGUUCUAGUGCACCCUUCUAGUAACAUUAUUUGCUGUUGAACAAAGAACGGGAUAUGAUUGUCCCUUGCUAUAUUUACAGUUCUAUUAACAAGGAACAAAAAGGACUUAUGUUGUUCUCCACCCCACCCCAAAAAAAGGACUCUUAAAGAUGGGUUAUAUUUUGGGAAACGAAGACGUCUUCAGAUAUUUUGUCUUGCUUACAAUAGCUGUGACAGAUGAAAAUGCAUACAGGUGAAGGAUUACAAUUUGAGGAGUGGAAGAUUUCAUCACAUCUUGCUGGUUUUGUUCCACCUUUAUUUUUCUCCCUCUCUGGUUGUUAACAAGUUCUCACUGCUUUCUUGGUGUGUUUAACAUGUAAAGCAUUGGUACUCUUAAUCUAGUUUGUAUAACAAUACUUGCAUAUACUGAUGCGCUUCGAUUUGAAUAAGCUCCAGACGAGGGCAAGUAGGAUGAAAUAUCUUGUCUUUGUCAAUUUAUGGCAUGAAAUUGAAUGAAAAGGAAAUGUUAUUUCGUGACUUUGAGUUUUUUUAUUUGUGACUGGCCGCUUUUAUUUGUCUAAUUAUACAGGAAAAAUGUGACAUGGCUGCCAAAGAAGCUGAUAUAGCUAAAGCAGCAUGGUUGUGCCGGGUAUGCUUGAGCAAUGAAGUAGAUGUGACAAUAAUUCCAUGCGGCCAUGUGUUAUGUCGAAGAUGCUCUUCUGCUGUUAGAAGGUGUCCUUUCUGUCGCCUCCAGGUCUCGAAAACGAUCAGAAUCUUCCGUCCUUGAAAACACCAAGCACAAGAUUUUGAGUUUUCGCAGUGAGAAGAAAAUUUAAUUCUUUACCAUUUUGGUACCUGCUUCUUUCGGUGUGCUCAUGAUCGUCAUUUGGUUCCUUUCCUUAACCUAUAGCAUUUGUAAAAUUGUAGUAUAUUGGUUUCAGACAUUCUGUACAUAGUUGUACAGCUAUUCUCAUAUUGGCUUGUAUAGCAAAUAUUCAUCUAAACAUAGAUUGAUUUCUUGAAAGUUCACCAGUUAUAUAGGACAUAAUAGUAAACUAUUUUGGUCAAAGGAACUUCCUUCAAUUAUUCAGUUAAAAUGAUUUCCUAUUGAUUGGAAAGCUUCAAUAUGGUCUUGUGCACGAAAAGGGGGUCGCGUACCCUAAUACGGUGGUCUUGCAAUCAUACAAAUCAAUCUAACUCGCUGCUGGUGUUUUGUAAGUCCUGCUCAGUGCUGACUUUCAAGUCAAGACUAUAGGGUUUGGUUGUAGGUAGGCAAAUUGGAAUUACAGUUUAACGUGACCGUUAAACUUUUCUUCUUCUUGUUAUUUAUUUAUUUUAUUAUUAUUGUUUUGUGAAGGCCGUAUUAGUGGAGCAUUUUUAUAUAGUAGACCUUCUGGAAUCCAAGAAAUGAACAGGAAUUAGUUCGUAGUAACAAAUAUGGUGGUACACGUUUGCCUUGUAGAUUGUUAUUUGUCAUUUUUAUGUACCAACUCCUUGUUGGAAAUUGUGGGAUAGUUGUUUGAAUAUUUUUUUUGAAAGAUCGUUAAAUUUUCCCUUCACAAAAGUUGAAUUUUCCUAGAACUCUAACCAAGUUUAAAAUUCUAAGCAGUGUUAGACUCAACAUGAUAUGAAUUGAUUUUAAUUUGAUAAAAGUUAAUUUCCUUCUUUUGAACUAUUUAAAUUAGAUUUGUAGAGAGUGUUUGAUGGGUAUUCCAAAACCAAAAUAAGCAGGUUGGUAAUUAGAGAUAAAAUCCCGUAGAGUUAUCUGAUUGAACUUGGUAAAAGAUUUAAAUAUAUGGGUUUGGAUUUAGUAAGAGGGAUUUUGGAGAAUAUUUGACCUGCUGUCAUUCUUACACUAUCUUGUCUCAAAUUGCUUUAUCACUUGUCCAACUUUUAAAUGUAUCAAAAUGAGCACACGGCCAAAAAAAAGUCACUCAACUAUUUAAGAUUACACCAUUUAGUCACUAAGCCUUUUUUUUUUUUGCCAAAAAGGUCAAUGAGCUAGAAAAAUUGUACUCCCUCCGUCCCAUUGCUAAUGUCAUGUUUCCACUUUUUUGUUGUCCCAAAAUAAGAGUCUCAUGGCAAAAGUCAAACAACUUUCACUGCUACUUUCCUUUUAUACCCUUAGUAAUAAUGACAAGAUUCCAUCAAUUAAUAAUAAACAAUUGCAUAUGGCCCACCACAACACAUGCACACUUUCACCUAGGGCUGCAAACGAGUCGAGUCGAGUCGAGUUUUGAGCUAAUCGAGCCGAGUCUCGACUAAAUUUUACCAAACUCGAGCUCGAGCUCGACGAGUUGGCAAUUUUCGAGCUCGAGCUCGACUCGAAUCAAGUCGAGCCGAGCUCGAGCUUUAAAAAAAAAAAUUAUUUUAUUUUUAAAAAAAAUAAAUAAAAUAAUAUUUUUUUCUGAAUAAAUAAUAAAAUAUUAAAGAUAUAUCCGUAAUUUCACUAUGAAAAUAAAAAAUAAAAUAUAUAUAUAAUAUACGUAAUUUUAUUAUUAAAUAAAAAUAAAAAUAAAAAAUAUAUAUAUACUCAAGCUCGCGAGCUAACGAGCUUAAUAUUCUGAGCUCGAGUUCGAGCUCGAGCUCGACUCGAGCCGCUCGCGAGCGACUCGAUUCGUUUGCAACCCUACUUUCACCAUUCCUGUAACCUUUUGCUUUUAGCUGGCUAUUUCCGUAUGUCAGACAAUGGAUAAAACUGGAAGAAUAUGAAAAGUGCAGUCCACCAUUUUACUGUGCAUAAAAAGUGCAACUCCUGGAAAACGUCCCAAAUUUUGGGACGGAGGGAGUAUCUUUUAUGGUUGUGAAUUUCAGAGGAAGAGAAUAAAUUCCCCAUAUUUUUAUUCAUCAAUCGUAAGGGUAUAUAUACAGGUAUAGACAUCCUAUAAUAGGAAGAUAUCCUAUUACAAUAAAUCAGUCCUCUAAUUCCUAUAAUUUAGGCUACAAACUAGCCUACAUUUGUUAGCUAUCUAAUCCCUACAAAUCAGCCUAUAUCAAUCUGUGACAGCUAUCUAAUCCCUACAAAUCAGCCUGCAUAUAAUCUGUAACAUCUAAUCCCUACAAAUCAUCCUGCAUAUAAUUUGUAACACUCCCCCUCAAGUUGGAGCAUAGAUAUUAAUCAUGGCCAGCUUGUUACAUAGAUAAUCAAUCCGGACCCCGUUAAGAGCUUUUGUGAAUAUAUCACCUAAUUGUUCUCCAGUCUUCACAUAACCUGUAGUGAUCAAACCUUGUUGGAUCUUUUCACGAACGAAAUGACAAUCAAUCUCAAUGUGUUUCGUUCGUUCAUGAAAGACUGGAUUGGAAGCAAUGUGAAGUGCAGCUUGAUUAUCAGACCAUAGCUUGGCAGGUACUGAGACCUUAAUUCCUACUUCACUAAGGAGCUGAUAUACCCAUAUGACUUCACACACAGACUUGGCCAUAGCUCUAUAUUCAGCUUCCGCACUGGAUCGUGAGACGACAUUCUGUUUCUUACUCUUCCAUGAGACCAAAUUUCCCCCAACAAAAACACAAUAUCCUGAAGUAGAUCUCCUAUCUUCCUUACACCCUGCCCAAUCUGAAUCUGAAAAACAUUCAAUCCUAGUAUGACCAUGAUUGCCAUAUAGGAUUCCACGUCCAGGAGCACAUUUUAAAUAGUGCAAAACUUGUUCGACUGCUUUCCAAUGGUCAACAGUUGGUGAGGACAUAUAUUGGCUUAACACACUCACUGAAUAAGCAAUAUCAGGACGUGUCACAGUAAGAUAAUUCAACUUUCCGAUUAGUCUUCUGUACCUCUCAGGAUCUGCACACAAUUCACCUUCUUUGGUUAAUUGUAAAUUAGGAACCAUUGGGGUACUACAUGGUUUAGCACCCAACUUUCCCGACUCCGACAGUAAAUCAAGUACAUACUUUCUCUGUGAUAGAAAGAUUCCCUUCUUACUCCUGCUAACUUCAACUCCCAAGAAAUACUUUAACAUCCCCAAGUCUUUGGUAUAGAACUGAGUAUGAAGAAAGGACUUUAGAGACGAAAUUCCGCUAGAGUCGCUACCUGUGAUUACAAUAUCAUCCACAUAUACAACUAACAGAAUAAUACCUCCAUUAGAGUGUCUAUAGAAAAUAGAAUGAUCUGACUUGCUUUUCUGCAUCCCAAAUUUCUCAAUAGCUUGGCUAAAUUUUCCAAACCAAGCCCGAGGACUCUGUUUCAAGCCAUAUAGAGAUUUUUGCAGAUGACAGACUUUCCCUUUCCCAUACCCCCCUUGAGCAACAAAACCAGGUGGUUGCUCCAUAUAUACCUCCUCCUGAAGAUCACCAUGAAGAAAGGCAUUCUUGAUGUCUAACUGAUGCAGAGGCCAGUCAUAAGCUGCAGCAAGGGAGAUAAACAACCUGACCGAAGCAAGUUUAGCAACAGGAGAAAAAGUAUCAUGAUAAUCCACCCCAUAAAUUUGAGCAUAUCCUUUAGCAACAAGUCGAGCUUUCAAUCGAGAAAUGGAGCCAUCAGAAUUCAUUUUGACAGUAAACACCCAUUUACAUCCAAUGGCUUGUUUACCUGCAGGUAAGGUAACCAAAGUCCAUGUACCAUUGACAUCUAGAGCAUUCAUUUCCUCAAUCAUAGCAGUCCGCCAUCCGGGAUGAGCUAAUGCCUCUCGAACAGUCUUAGGUACAGAAACAGUGUCUAGGGAUGUAAGAAAAGCACAAGAAGAGGAAGACAAAUGAUGGUAGGAAACAACUGAAGAGAUUGGAUAAGUACAUGCACGUUUACCUUUUCUGUGAGCAAUAGGGAGAUCAAGAUCAUCGUUGGCAGCCGGAUCUGAUGACAAAGAGACUGGUUCAUCAGGACAUGAUUCUGGAGACUCAAGGACCAAGUCAGAACUAGGCUGAUGUGCCCGACGUGAGUAGGUAUAGUUGAUGGGAGGCUUAACCGGUGUAGAAGGAGGCGGACCCGAAUUUGGUAUGACACUAUAGAUUAACAAAUCAUCAUCCUCCCCUGGACUCACAGAACUUGAAGAGCCUGAAGAUGAAGAUAAAGGUGUUUGUUCCAAAAAAGUAACAUCAGCAGACACAAGAUACUUACCAAGACUAGGACAAUAACAACGAUACCCUUUUUGCAUGCGAGAAUAACCCAGAAACAUACACUUUAAGGACUUAGGAUCAAGUUUUGUAAAUUGAGGACGAACAUCCCGAACAAAACAAGUACAACCGAAUAUCUUUGGUUCUAUAGGAAACAACUGUUUAUUUGGAAAUAGAGUGUGGAAAGGAGUAUUACCAGACAAAACAGAGGAAGGCAUACGAUUAAUUAGAAAACAAGCAGUAGAUAGAGCAUCAGCCCAGAAAUAUUUAGGAACCUUCAUUUGAAAUAACAAAGCUCGAGCAGUUUCAACAAGGUGUCUAUUCUUUCUCUCGGCAACCCCAUUUUGAGAAGGGGUGUCAACACAAGAGGUCUGAUGAAGAAUACCCUGCUCAAGCAUGUAUUUCUGAAAACUGCUUGAAACAUAUUCUUUUGCAUUAUCACUUCGUAAAAUUUGUACAGGUUUACCAAAUUGGGUUCGAAUUUCAGCACAAAAGGAAGAAAAGUGAAGAAAUAGUUCUGAGCGACUUUGCAUCAAAUAAAGCCAUGUCAUUCUAGAAUAAUCAUCCACAAAGGUAACAAAAUAUCUGAAACCAGUUUUAGAGGUAACUGGACAAUGAUCCCAAACAUCAGAAUGUACUAACUCGAAGGGAGCAGUAGUUCGCUUAUUGAUUCUAGGACUAGAACUAAGACGAUGAUGUUUAGCAAACUGACAAGACUCACAAUCUAAUGAAGUAAUGUUUGAAAACUGAGGACAAAGUUUCUUCAACAUAGAAAGCGAAGGAUGACCCAAUCGACAAUGUGCUUCAAAAGGAGAGAUUGUUCCAGCACAAGCUAUAGACCCUGGUUUCGGUGUAUCAAGAAUGUAGAGACCGUCAGACUCAUGUCCCUCACCAAUAAUCUUCUUCGUCAUGAGAUCCUGAAAUGAACAAUAACCAGGAAAAAAUGAGACACAACAAUUAAGAGCACGAGUAAGUUUGCUGACAGAAAUCAGAUUAAAAGAUAGUUGUGGUAGACUCAGAACAGAUGAUAAAUGGAGGGAUGAUGUGGGCUUAGUGGUUCCAGACCCAAUAACACUGGAUGUUGAACCAUCGGCUAAAGUGACAGGAGUGAUAGAUUUAUGUGGCUGAAAGUUAGAAAGUAAACUAGGAUUACCUGUCAUGUGAUCAGUAGCACCAGAAUCAAUGACCCAUUUUGGAGAAGAGGAAACAAGACAUGCAUUGGGUUUACCUGUCUCGACAGGAGCAGUAACAUGACCGGAUGGCUGUUUCACUGUUUCUUGAAACUGAGUCAAUCUAGCAUACUCAUCCGCAGAUAUUGUAACAUGCUUGUCAGAGGUCGCACAACUAGAUGCAAUAUGGGCAGAGUGAGCCUUCUUAUACUGCAGCUUCCGACAGUCUCGCUUGAUAUGACCUGGUUUAUGACAGUAGUGACAUACAAUUUCUCCUUGCUCCUGUCCAUGAUUGCUAGUAUUCUUAUCAGAGUGGUUGGGCCCCGACCCCAUGCUCUUACUGUUGCCAUUACUCUUGUAGUGUUGUCUUCCUGAAUCAGCUGUGGUAGUUCGGCUAAGAAGAACACUGUUAGGCUGAGUAGAUAGAACAGGUAACGUAUUCUCUGUACGGAGAACCCUUCGAAAAGCAUCUUCUAGACUGGAAAUUUCUGAACCGGAAAGAAUUUGAGAUUUAGCAGUCUCAAAUUCAGACGGAAGACCGGCUAGAAAACUCAUAACCGCCAUCUUCUCUCGCUGAUUUCGUUGUUCCUCCACAUCACAACUGAAGGGAAGCAGCAUAUUGAGCUCUUCAUAUGUUUUCUUGAAGUCCAUAAAAUAACUGGUGAGAGACUUGUCUUCUUUAUCUGCCCUGUAAAAAUCCUUGCAAACAUCAUAGAUACGAGAGAAAUUUCCUUUUCCAGAAUAUAAGAACUGUAAAUAGUUCAUUAAUUGUUUUACUGUCUUACAAUGAGUAACCAGACCAACCACCUCACUAUCAAUAGAAUUACGGAUCUGUAUAUACAAGCGAGCAUCCUCUCUCAUCCAAGACAAUUUAGAGGCAUCCAUAGGUGGAUCAUCAGUCAGAUGGCCAUCCAUAGAAAUACUGAGCAGAUAUAAUUCAAUAGUAUUGUUCCAAUCAAGAAAAUUAAUUCCAUUUAACUUAUGUUCCGUGAUUUUUGAAACCAGCGGAACUAUAUCAGAAACAACUCCAGGCUUUUUGUCAGACAUAAUUGCUAAGAAAAUUCAACAAGAUAACAGAUUAUCCACAAGAAAAACCUAUUGUAGCCAAGUCCCACACCUAGAUCGAUGUUGACCCACAAACAGGUAUGCAAAUAGCAUCGAGAGACAGAAGAGAGGUGCUGGGUUCUGACCAAUCGGUACUACGUACCUCCCUGAGUUGGCGGUGUCUAUAAAGGAACCUCUAAAGCCUGUACCUUGAAUAUGGCAGCAGCUUCCCUCACACCCAACAACCCAGAAAAAAAAUUUAUGAACAAACCUUGCUCUGAUACCAUGUGAAUUUCAGAGGAAGAGAAUAAAUUCCCCAUAUUUUUAUUCAUCAAUCGUAAGGGUAUAUAUACAGGUAUAGACAUCCUAUAAUAGGAAGAUAUCCUAUUACAAUAAAUCAGUCCUCUAAUUCCUAUAAUUUAGGCUACAAACUAGCCUACAUUUGUUAGCUAUCUAAUCCCUACAAAUCACCCUAUAUCAAUAUGUGACAGCUAUCUAAUCCCUACAAAUCAGCCUGCAUAUAAUCUGUAACAUCUAAUCCCUACAAAUCAUCCUGCAUAUAAUCUGUAACAAUGGUCAUUUUGUUGAAUUUCAGUAUUAAGAUAGUCAAAAAUACAUUACACUUAGAUUUUUAAAAGCAAAAAUAUUACACAAACUUUAGCACAUACUUAAAAAAGAUCAAGGGCAUUUUUAGUUUUCAAACUUUGCUAAUUCUUUUCAAAUAUGGAUCAAAAUUCCAAAGCAUUAUCAAAAGUUACAAUCAUAAUUUAGAGAGAAUUCGUAAAGUUUGAAAACUGAGAAGGUCCUCAGUCUUUUUCUCAAUGCAUGUGAAAGAUUGUGAGACAUUUUUGUCUUUGAAAACCUAAGCAUAUUACACGUGUGAUUGCACUUCCAAGUAUCUUAACACAAGAAUUCAAUGGAAUGACCAAAAGGAGUACACUUUUACGAGUAUGGGGACUUUUUCGACAAGAGAGAGUUUGGUGACCAAACGGUCAAUCUUAAAUAGUUUGGUUUUUUCAUCAGAUGACAACAUCUAACCUAAGUCUACUUCUACUCCUACUCCUACUCUACCCUACACUAGGGGGAGGCCCAAUGAGAUCUAGAGAAACCGAUGGGGACUGAAUUGUGAGGAAUCAUGUUUUAUUUUUUUAAAAUAGUUAUUUUAUAAUUAUUUACCCUAGUAUUAGUUAAUUAUAUUUUAGUUGCAAGAAUUUCUUUUAAAUUUCGCUUUAUCACGCGCAAGUUGAAAGUUCGCGUAUUUCGCAUCGAAACGACUAAGUGGAGAUUUGAGAAAUUUAUAUUAGACUAGUAAGAGUGAGUAAUUACAAUGUUAAAGGAAUUAUAUUGGAGGAUUAGUGCACUAGUACAACAAAUCCGAGAGAAAACGGUGGUACAAAACCCGCGCACUACAACUAUUCAAAGUUGAAUUUUGCUCCUAACUUAAAGUAACUUUCCAUCAAUUUUCCCUCACAAGCUAAACACACAAAACCCUUCUCUCUCUCUCAUCUUGCUCGGCCGAACACACCCAAGGAGGAAGGAGGAAGAAACUCCAUUGUUCUAGCUUCAUUUCACCCACAAAACUUCCACCAAAUCGCAAACUACUUGGAGUAACACUUCAUCUUGGAGCAAGGAGAAAUCGUGUGGUUUUUCUUGAAGAAUUGUUGGCGGAAAAAUCUGGUUUCAUCAAGGGUUUAGGAAGUAACCUUCAUCUCCUUUAAUCUUUCCAAUUUCUUCAAGAUUGAAAGUUAGUUUGCAUGAGUUUACAACCCUAAGCAAGAUAAUAGGUUAGAGGACUUGAGGAAACCAUUUACUUUGAUUUAAUCUCUAGGCUAGCAGUCUUUAGGAGGAUUGUAGGUAGCUGCCUUCAGGAUAUGUUGCUUGGUUAAUGUUGUUUGUGUGAUGAAUGAAAGGAUUACGGUUAGAAAAUGGAGAGAAAGUUGGAAAAUUUUGGUUAGUGUGCUGGCUGAAAAUUCUGUCCAUGUUGUUCAGUGGUUAUUUCGAAAUUUUGAUGCUUGGAUGACUGUGAAAUUGAUGGAUAUUUGUUGUAUAUUGUGUGUGCAAAGUUCCUUUCAAAAAUAGUUUCACUUGGUUGCCUAAAACUUGAGUUUUGGUAAGAUUCAAAUCUGAAAAAUUGCAUAGCAGAAUACUCAGACAGUGCUCCUUUAUCCGAACAUAACUUCUUGUACAAAAGUCGAAAUUGAGUGCUGUUUGUGGCAUUCAAAAUUAGACAUUCAUAGCUUUCAAACGGUAUAAAAAUCUCCUGCUAGUUCAUUUUGAGUGAACUGUAGUGAGUCGGCAAAAUUGGCUAUUCUGUUUUGAUUGUUUAUACAAAUGAAACUGGAAGCUAUGUUUUGUGGCUUGAUUUUGUCCCACUUGUGAAAAGAUUUUGAUGAGAACAUUAGAUUUCUUCUCAAAUGGUCCUUGGAGAAUCAGGUUCGUAUCAGAUUUUCAAAAUGACGCCUUCUGAUAAAUUGUAGCCUUUGGAACUUAGUUUCCAACGCCACCAACCAUUUGCAAUUUGACUUUGUAUGGAGUUAGAUAUGGCUUGAUUUUGAAAAUGUGACAAAGCUAGAAACUGGAAAUUUUUCCCUUUCUUGUUGGCCGAGUGGUCAAAUCUAUUUUGGGAUGUUAUACCUCAAAAAUUUUCAUGUCAAUUGCUUGUCAAUUACUUAUUAAAUGUUUUGGAACCUUGGUUUCAAAAAUGGAGUGAAUUGAGGUUGAUUUCAUUGGACAAAACCUUUGGAAAGAAAGAAAGAGUGGGUUGGCAGAUUUGCUUUGAAAAUUUCACAAAUUUUGGUCAUUUUGUUAACUGCCUUCUCGUGUAAGUUUUUACCUAAAUCUUGGUAGAGAAGUAGUUCAUAUAUGGAAGUUUAAGUGUACCAAAUUUGAUGUAAUUUCAAUAUCAUUUCGAUAUCCGAAUGAUGUCCCAAAGAUUGCUUUUCAAAUCUGAAAAUUUACCGAUCAGUUUGCAAGAUUCAGCUGACUUUGAACUGUUAUAUCUUGAUGCUCCGAAUUUAGUUCCAUUUGUCGUGUUUGAAACCUUGUUUGGAACUCUUAUUGUGUUACGAAUUUCAAGGGCUGAUUCACUUUCUGUGAAUUUUACUGAAUUUCCAAAGAUUGCUGAAAAACCAAGACUGGUUCAAACCUGUCUUCUUGGAAUUGAAACUUUGAGCUGAAAAAUGAACGCUUUCUAUUUGUAACCAUGAAAAAGUGUCUUCUAGGACUUUUAUUGCUUCGAACCUAGUUUCUGAUGGUAUAAAGUUUUCCAUUUUUGGACAUGCUAAACUCAAGAUCUGAUUUUCCAAAGAUUGUCGCGCAAAACGGAAAUUUUCCGAAUUCUUAAGAAAUGAGUUUUUGAGAACUUGUCACUCUCUCUCGAUAUCGAUAGACCAUUUUAAACUCGAUUUCAUGGAAGAGGCAAGUCUCUCUUGGGACUUUAAACCCUCACUUUUGAACCUCGAUUUUCGAGAGAUUUAAAGUUCUCUUUCAUGACAUUGUCUUAGUGUUGCACAAGUGUACAUUCUUCCUUAUUGGCAAGGGGUUUGUUAGUAUUUGUGAGUGAUAGUCAGUUAUUAUUUCUUCAGGUGCUCAAGAGGAUCUUCAAGAGAAUCUCGGAGCGGACGCCUAAAAGCUUAUUUGCUCACUUACUCACUUUUUGACUUGGUGAGUGUCAAGUGCAUGAUGUAUUGUGGAAUACGUGAAUUACUUCUUGUUAAUCAUGUGAAUUAGAAUUGCCGAGACGAGUGUGUAUUUUAUCGUACUCGUUCUUUUUAAGUGAAAUUAUGAUCGAAUUUCGCUAUGUGAAUUGAUAUUCGACUUGUGUGAAGUGAUGUGGUUGUGAAUCGUAUUUGUGAUUGUCGAUUGGAGCGUUGUCUCGUCGACUUAUAUUCGUAUUUGGGGGACGCCCAAACUCAUAGGCUAACCUUAUGACUCGAGCCGGCAUGGGCUUGGUCGAGAAAUUUGGUGAACCAUGAGAAAAUUCGUAAAGUUUGAUCUAUUUGAAAGAUCUCGCUUGGCAUACUCGAGUAGUAUCGCCUUUCUAAAUGAUGAGCGGGUCCGGAACAGGGGGUGUAACAGUGAAUGGGAUUCACGAAGUAAGUAGUGUUCUACGGACUAAAUAUACCUACCCGAUUGACGGAGUGUUAUCACAUGGAGGUAUAUGAUCGAGAUUCGGCAAAACAAGUGGAAUCUAGCUCCUGAGAGCUCCUGUAUCCUUAUUGAGUGUGUUUUACUUUAAAUUGUGAAUUACUUGAACGUUAUAACUUUAUUUCUCGUGUAAGUACUAUUGCUACUUGAACUAUGUGUUUGCAUGAUUUUCUUGGCCUCACUGAACGUUAACUCAUCCCAUUAGUUUUGUUUUCCUUAACAGGUGCCGAAAUGGAAAGAAUUAUGGAGAAGCCGACUUGAUGGUCUUUUAAUUAGAAUUUUGAAUGUAAUUGGUUAGACAACUUUUGGAGAUUGUAUAUUUUGGGGAAUGUUGAUGUACUUUUGGUAACUUGUGAUGUAAGAUUUGAGUGUUUAUUAAGGAAGUGACCUUCUUUAUAUUUUUUACUUUUAGUAUUAAUUGAUUAUCCAUAAGUUGAAUUCGUCUCGUAGCGAGUCCUAGCGAGAGCUAGGCAAGCGUCUCGCCGAUACCCUUGGGUUCGCCCUAGGGAGAAGUGGGAGCGUCACAUGAAUUACUAUCGGACCAAAUAGGUGAACUAUGAAUCCAUAUGGAUUUAGAAGAAACCAUUUAUAGUGGUACAUUAGGCUGUUGGUCACCAUCAAAAACUUUAAAUCUUGGUGGGAUAGUAGGUCAAUCUUAAAUAGUUGAGUUAUAUUUUUUGCCAUUCACUCUAUCAAAAAACACUAGGUCCGUUUGGAUUGGUUUUAUUUGAGUUAUUAUUUUGGAAAAAAAAUUUACCAAUAAUUUUUUACCCCAAUUAAGUCAGUUAACUUAUCUUGAGAAGUUAAACUUGCAGCAAAAUUCUCAAAGCUUGUUUGGAAUGCUAACAGAAUAUAAAACAACUUAUUGGAGCAAACAUACAUCACAUGGGACCUAUAAAUGUCAACACGUCUUAUAAGCACACAUCAACUAGACAAGUCAUUUCACUAUCCCUUCGGCUGGUUUCUAAAAACGUAGUAAAAGUAACAAUAACAUGAACUCCAUGCAACGUACAACUAAAUUUUUUUUUUUCUAUUCCAUGCAUUUUUAAUUUCAAUAAAACUAGCAAAUACAUCACAAUCGAAUAAUUUUCAUCCUAUCAGUUGUUACAUUCAUUUAUAGAUGCAAGAUCGAACCCUUAAACAACAAACUGACAAGUAAGCUUAAUUGAAGCAAAUCGAGAAACUAUUGAUGAAUAGUUUCUGCAUAUUAUAUUGUCUUUUUGAAGUAUUCAUGUGUUGCAGCCUUUUAGAAAUUAUUGAAUGCAAGCACCUGUUGAAUAAUUCAUGAAUAGUGUCCCCAUAAUCAAAUGCAUUUUCUUGUGGCUAAUUUCUGCUACCAAUAAACCACCACCAUUUCUAUGGUUUCAUCAUUUAUCAGUCUUGGCCAUUUUAUUCAAAUAGCAUAGAACAACAACAAUAGUUUGAUGAGUAGCCAAUUGCAUGCUAAUAAAUAGAUCAAAUUCCUUUCCCGUCAAUAAUUUACCCAAGCCCAUAGCUAAUCUUUCCAAAAUGGUGAUCCAAACAUUGCAGGUCAUCACAAAAAAGAAGGAUAAAAAAAUCAUAUGAAAGAAAGCAAUAAAGGAACUGGUAACUUUUUUUGCUUUUCAUCCACAUAACACACCAACGGUUACCUUUGCAUUUGUUAGCGGAAGUGGUAAGGAAUUUGAAAAAGUGGGUGGGCCCUUAGGAGAUGAAUAAUAGUUCGAAAUUUAAUUCAUGAUACUAAUUAUAGAUUAUGUGUCCACAUCACAUCCAAAUACCAUUCCAAGAUAACUUAUUUUAAAACCAAAUAUAACAAAUAAAACCAUAUAUCCAAACAAACCCAUUGGCUCCAAUCACUAGUUGGAGACUUCUAGUCUUAAGAAUCUUCUUCACUUUCUACAACAAAUUUAAAUGGAAAGAAAGGAACUAAAUAUAUCAUCUACGUCAAAAGUUACGCCGUCACAUCACCAUGUAGUUACAUGACUAGUUACAUUUCUUAAGCAACUAUUCAUGUAUGUAUGUGAUGGCACUGAUUCUAAAUGCCGUCAUAUCACCAUGUCAAACUGGUUGAUUUUGUCAUAAUUCUAAUAACUCAAGGUAUGCAUGUGCAAGAUCAAGGGCGUUUAGAAUUAAUAGUGGCAAUUGCAUGGUACACUAUAGAAGUAAACACUAACAGCAAAUAUAAACACUAUAAUAAUAAAUAUAGACACUAGAAAAACGACAAGUAAAAGCACAAUAAAUCUUCUAUUUCAUUAAAAUUUAUGUCCACAAAAAUUGUUACAUGUUGUUAUGUUGUGUAUAUGUUUGUUGUUCUAACGUCUAUAUUUGUUGUACUAGCAUUAAAACCAUAUGAUACAAUUGCCACUAACAAUUGCAAAGACUCUAGUCUGAGGAGGCACCAGCUUUAGACCACUUCCCAACUAUAGCUAAAAUUUAUGCAUGAGAGUCAAAGUAACAUCAUUGAACCGGUUCACAAUGAGAUCAUUAUAUGUAUGAUGGAGUCUACAUCAUAAGCAUAGCGCCCAAGUACUGAUAUUUAGACAUAAUAGGGAAUUUACUUAAAUAGCUGUUGAAAAGUUUUUGAAAGUAAAGUUCAGAAAGCAAGGUUGAAAACAUCGAAGAUGACAAAAAGUCGAGUACUUCAUCUAAAUAAAGAAAGCAUUGGUUUCAUAAAACUAUUCGUUAGAAAUUUAUAACCCAAAUUUAAAAGCAUUACUUUUUUUUGGAAAAUUAUAACAUCCUUUUGUAGUUGUUGAAGAUGGCACAACACUUAUUCAACCCAACUGGAUUAAUCUAAACCUCAAAAUUGGGAACAAGAGAGUUAUCAAAGCUAAAACAAUCUCUAUACUUUCCAUUUUUUUCUAUCGAAAACCACACUAAUUAUUGUCAUUUAACAAUUUUUGCAUUUUCUUGUGACAAAAUGGUCUAAAGAUCCUUGCCAUGUGCAACCCAACUAAGAUUAAUCUAAUUUCUAUUAAUAGAGUGAAUGAAAACUAUAGAAAAUAUCAUAAACAACAUAUUAGGUAUUUUUUUAGCAAAUAAACAUUUAAACAUAUAAUUUUAAUAUUAAACAAAGAUAUCGCACAUCUGAAAAUGAAAUUAGUAAAUUUUAAGGCCCAAAUAUCAUAUUAGUAAACAUUUCACCAUAUUAAUUUUAAUAUUAAACAAAUACAUCACACAUCUAAAAAUGAAAUUAGUAAUUUUUAUGACCCAAAUAUCAUAUUCAAAAUUUGGCAAAGAGAAAGUGUGAUUCCCCAUUAGAUAACAAUUGAUAAGUGUCAUAUUUUGUGUUGCAUAUGUGUUUUAUUCCAUUUAUCAAGUGAAUAUGUGUGAAAGUUGUUCAUUUUAGGGUUUUUUCUUAAAGUUUUGUGGUUUAAGCAUGGUUUGAGGUUAAAAUGCAAAAACAAUAGUACUAAAUGGUAUUUUAUGUUUGUUUCGAUACGUUUUGGAAUAGUGUGAGAAUGUCUUUAAAGAGGUGUUAAAGGAAUGUUUUCGCAUGCCGAAAGAAAUUUAGGAAGCUUGGUGCAAGAAGGAAAUCAACUUGAAACUACUUUAAAGAAGUUUAAAAAGUUAGUUUUCAAAUGCAAUUUAGACACUGGUUUGACAUUAUGUUGGCUAUAACCUAAACUACAUAGGUUAGACUAAGAUGACUCUUAAUGUGAUUCAAAACCAGGACCAAGGGCUACAGAGGUCAAAUUAAGAUGAUUCUUAAUGUGAUUUAAAGUUAUGACCAGGUUCUACAAUUCUUAUUAAAUGUUCAAGUCAAGUUCUAUCUUUUUGCUCUCUAUGAGUCUGAAUUACUGAAAUGAUUUCCUUGUACUGUGUUUUUGAAAAACUUUCAAAAUUGUAUUCUAACUGAUGGGUGAUAUUUUGAGCAUAACUCUACAUAGGCGUCUAAAUAAUCUAAUUCUUAAUCCAUUGGAAAGGUCAAAUGGAUUUUGUCAAAGCAAAUUUUGACGGGCCCAUUUUUCCAUCAGAAGGCUUCUCAGGUAUUGGGGUGGUGGUACGUGAUGGCACAGGCGAUUUCAUAGCUGGAUUGUCUAAGAAGAUUCCUAGUGUUUUAGCCUUGGAUGUCAUCGAAACUUAUGUGGCGAUAUUUGCAACUAAAUUGCUGGUUGAAUUAGGCUAUAGUCACGUUGCUCUUGAGGGUGACAAUCUAAAGAUUAAAAAAGUGCUUCAGCAAUAUGACUCUGAUGAUUCAACAUGUGGCAUAUUGAUUGAUGAUGUCUUGCAACUUCUAUAAAAUUUCACCAAGUGGGAAGCCAUAUGGAUACCAUGUUCUUUGAAUGGUACAGCCCGUAGCUUUGCUAGGAAUGCUUGUACUAUCAUGGAUGACUAUUUGUGGAAACAUUCACCUCCAUCUUUUGUAUUAUCCGCACUUCAAGCGGACCUUAUUCCAUCUUAAUAAAACUUUAUGCCUUUCUAUAAAAAAAUCCAUUGGAAAGCCAAUUGAAUUGAAUGCAAAUUUUCUAUUUUGUCCCAAAGCUGAUUUGAUGUCCUUGAUAGAGAUAUGUUCGCCUCAAAUUGAGGGUUGAACUAUCCAAAUCCUAUCCUGAUUGGACUUCCAAUUCCCAAUCAGUUUUCAAUUCUUUCUAUCUAUAAAAGGGACUUGUAUGAACAAAUUUGAGCCGAUUAGCAUAUUUAGGAGUAUUUUAAAAGUUGGUUUUAUCAUAAAACACUUCUACAUUUAUUAUUUUUCAAUUGUACUUGGAUUAUUGCAAUGAGUAAGAAAGGGGAUCUUCAUCAAUCUUGGCUAAGGCUUUCUACCCUUCUUCCUACUUUCAUAAUAUUAAUGAUAUUCAUGGACUUUUUUUGCCAAAAUAACACUGUAGACACCAAAUUUUUGGUGUAAUUUCUUUUACUUUUUAUUCUCAUUUGUCGUGGUUACUUUUAGUUUUUUUAGUUUCUAGUUUCUAUUUUAAUUUUUAAGUUUUAACGUAGAAAAAUCAUGGAAAAAGAGAAAAAAAGGAAAAUUGUUCACAAAAAUACGUUCAAAUUUAAUUUUUUGGCAUUUUGGUUAAUUUAUUUUGAAAAAAAAAAAAAAAGAAAAAAUGAUGAGAAAUGAUGAAAAAUGAAAGAAAAGAUCGAAAAUGGUAAUUUUGUUAUUUUUAGUUUGUUUAUUUUGAUGUGUUUGUAAUUAAAAUUGUUGUUUUUAUUAUUAUUUAGUUUUACUAUUAUUUUUGUUAAAUAAUUAAGGUGAAAAAAAAAUAAAAUAAAAUAAAAAAAAAACAACAUUCUCCACUUCACCAUUCUUCAGAAGAAAACCGCGACUCCAACCUCCUCAAUACCGCACACCAUUUCCAUUUACUCUCUACACCAUCAUUCCCCAAAACCACAACCCCAUUUACCCACCUUGUAAUCAUCGACCGAGGGGAAGGAGAGAGAGCUGCACUUACAGCCGAGAGGAAGGAAAGGUAACUGCGAGCUCUUCGUUUCUGUUCUGUCCGUGAGCUGAGGGGAGAGAAUCGGACACCACUCUGCACUUCCAAGACCUCCACCAGCUGAGCUCAACCACACCCACCAACUUCACAGCUAGCCUACGCAAACCAAACUCAGCCAGCCAUACUUUACUUCCAUAGCCAGCCGAGAGGAAAAUGUUGCAGCAAACCAUCGUGUGAGCUGAGCUCUUAACUGGGGCCACUCAUUUCCAUUCCACUACCUCAGCUCACAACAACAUUUCCCUGCCUUGGUAUCAUCGACAAGGGGAACCAGAGAGAGAGCCAUGCGAGUUGUGAGCUGCAACUUCCCUGUUCUGUCCGAGAGUGCGAGAGAGAGGGAGAGGCCGAACUGCAAUUUCUUUUGCUGUCUCUGUUCUGCCGUAAGCUGAGGGAAGAGACCAGGGAACCAUCACCUUCUUCGUCAACCCCAGACCAACAACCACCAACUGCAACCUCAACCAAGCUGCACUUCACCAUUUCCAGCCGCAACUCAUCAAACCAGAACCAGCAAACCCCGCGGAAGAAGAGAGCCGAGAGGGAGAAAAUUUUCAGACUUUCUGUGCAAGAGCUUAGCUUGCUGUGAGGUAAUUUCUGGACUUUUUAGGUUGAUUACUAGUGGAGGAAACUAUAUGCGAGUUGCAUGUGAGGCUUGUACAGUCGGUGGAUAGAAAUCAAGCCAUUAGGAAAUUUCUGCUUUGGCUAAGUGUGCUGCCGAGAAACUGAUGAGAGAAUGCAGCUGUAUUUCUGUUUUUCUAGGACAAUCUGAGUACCUAAGUGUACUUAGCCGAAUGAAAUUGUGAUGAUUAAAACCAUGCAUGUUAAAUUGUGCAUUCGGAUGAUGUUAUGAAGCAUGCAGAAAUUCUGUUUUGGCUAAAUGUCUCUGCCGAUGAACUAAUUUGGGACAUGUAAUUUUAAUUCUGACUCCAUGUGAUAAUCUGAGCUUAAUUGAGGAUCCAAUUUGAUAGAUAAUCUUUUUAUUUGGUGUUGCAUGUGAACCUUAUGGCCAGGAAUCUGAUUGCAUGGCUGGAUUUUUUUUUUAUUAGAAGUUGUUGGACUGCUAAACACUUUUCCCGCUUAGCCGAUGGAGUUGUUUUGGGAGUUGUAUGGGUAUUUUAGAAUGAGAUUUGCUGGAAAGUGUUUGAUUCUCACUUGGUUGUGUGUUUAGCUAAUUAAAUGCUGGAUGAUUAAGCCCUGCAUGAGAUGAUUUAGCUGUGUGUAAACCAGAAAUUUGAAUGAAACCAAAAAUCUGCUGCAUGCAUGUCAUCCGUAAAUAGUUGAGCAAAUUCUGGAAUUUUGGAUGAAUGUUGUUGGUGACCGACCCUGCUUUGGACUAGAAUUGAUAGUAACUUCAUUUAUUAGUCAUGCAUGAUAGCUUUGAGUACAUAAUUCAGUGAUUUGGCCAAAAUUGUUGACACAUAGUUGCUGGAAAUGUUUCAAUUUAUCCGAGGGAGGGAGAAAGAAUUUUUCCAGUUUAGACGUGAGCUUUCAUAAUUGUUCCCUUGCUGCACUUUCAUUUAGCCGUGGUUUCCUUUGGUCAUUCCUUUGCUGCACUUUUCAUUUAGCCAUGAGUUGCACAUCUUAGUUCCUUAGCCGCAUUUUUCAUCUAGCCAUGAGUUGCACAUCUUAGUUCCUUAGCUGCACUUUUCAUUUAGCCGUGAGUUAUCAUUUUGUUUCCUUCGCUGCAUUUUUCAUAAACCCAUAAGCUUGAUGAGCUUUAUAUGUGCGAGGUUCAUGUGAAGGGAGUUGCGACAUAGCAACAGAAAUUUUCGUCGUAGAUGGUUUUCUUUCUUUUGCUGCAGUUCAUCUUCAUAAUUUGCUGUUUUCCUAGAUUCUCGCAACAAUACAUAAGCUGGUUUGCUCAUUUCUUUUCGCUAGCUGAAUUAGGUGUAGAAAGGGGUGGUGUUUGAUUGGUUUUGAAGUUGUAUGCUCGGCUCUAAACAUUGUGAACCCCUUUUUAAACAUUGCUGGAUUUUUGAUGAGAUUAGAAAUGUUGAAUCUUCUUGGCAUAAAAUUUCCUAGCACUUGCAUGUUUGUUCCUGAUAUGUUUUGGUUUGUUUGGGGAAUCAAGUUGGGAGUUAUGUUGUUUGACUCAAAGUGGGGAUGUUGCUAGAUAAAAUUUGUCCAAGCUUGGCGUUAGUUUUGCCAAAAUCUGUUUGAAAAAAAAUGAAAAUGCACCAGUCUUUGAGUGGGUUUUUGUAACAAAAGUGCAGCAGUUUUUUUGGUUUUGUAAACUUGCAAGAAAUUACUUUGAUUAAGUAUUGUUUAAGCAUGCUUUAAUUAGAGUUAGUUUAACGCUUUGUUAGCUAAAGAUUCAUAGAUGAAUUUGUGGAUAAGCUAGCUUAGCCUACCAAGAUUUUCUUGUUGCUGCCGAAACUUCCUUGUUGUUUUGCCGAAAGUUUCUUGUUUGUUGCAGAAAAUUUUGUUCCUCACGUAUGCAUGCAUGUCAAUAUUUCUGAAUUUAACACUUUGACCCCCCAAGUCCCCUCUUGACUCACUAGGGCCCAAGUAAUUGGAACAUUUAAUCAAUUUGAUCCUUCUAAGUUUCUUUUUGUUCCACAAGAGCCCAAGCAUGUUCUAGUAUCUUGUAAUUAAGUCCUAAAAUCAUUGCAACUUCAAUCAUUGUUUGACUUUUCCUUUAUUUUUAAGAUCUUUGAAGUGCUUAAACGAUUUAUUUGGACUUGAAUGUUUGAGUAAUGCUUGUUUUGGGUCUUUAGUAGAUGCUAUAUUUGGAAAUUGAACGGGUUAUUCCGUUUUCUUGGUCUUUAAGCAUUUUUUGAGCUCAUUCAAGUUGCAAUUAGGUGGGUUUUGAUGUUUUUGCUUAUACUUUACUUUUAAAUUGAUGCCUUGACCCCUUUAUUGUUUUGAAGCCAUUUUCCUUCAUUUGCUUAUCAUUAGGGGAAGGUAUAACUUUCUUUUAUCCUCUUUACUUCUCUCUUACGUGCUCCUACGUGUUACGUGAAUAUGCAUGUCUACUUUGCUUUCUUAAUUCCUUGCAUUUAUUUCGUUUACUUUUACUUUUAUUUAAAUUAUUCAUUAUGGGGUAUGUGUACACCUCUUGGCUUGUAAUAGAUAGGGCAUUGGAGAGCACUUUGUCCAUUUUUCCCCCUUCCCCCAUUUGUUUUAGUUAGCCCAUGUAAUAGUUUCAUUUGCUUUUGGGGUAUUAUUUGGUUUGCUAUGUGUUUAAUUUGCUUUAUUAAGCUAUUGCAUUUAGUCGAGCAUGCUAAGUGUUAUGUGCUACGUGUUAUAAGUGAUUUUGCAUGUCUACUUGCUUUCUAUAUUUAUAAAUGAAUGUGAUGGAUGAAUGUACGUUUCCGCUAGUCCAACGCUAGUCGGAAUUCAUAGAAUGGGCUAGUCCAACGCUAGACCCUUAGGGAUUUCCCCUUGUUAGUACAUAUUUGCAUGUUCAUUACAUGUCAUGCAUUCUUUUUAGUUUUAUCAUUUUUUGCAGGCCCCCGACCCCCUUUCCCCUCACUUUAGGUCUUGCAUCUCAUGCUAGUUAGGGUACAUUUGCCUGAAGGACCCCCUUGGGUAAGGGAAACGAGCGAGUGUGGCUUCAAAAUAGCCUUAGCACGCUAGUUUUUCCUUCUAAUCAAAGGAAAAUUAAAAUCACAAAAACUAGAGGUCAUUCCCGUACCCGACCUGAUGCAUUCCUCUAAGUUCAUGCAUUUUCAUAUCAUUUUCUCACUAUUUUCCUCACUAAUUAUAUAUUUUAAAUCCACAUGUCAUAUUCACACACUUAUUCAUUUUCUUUACUUUUCACUUCACACAUUGCACCUAUUUUACUUAUAUAUUUACUAUUUUCAUUCACUUGCACACGAGCAUUUAUAUUUUUAUUCAUUUGCACACAAACACUUUCAAAUUGCACACAUGCACUUUUUUCUACACUUUGCACACUUACACUCUCAUUUGAGUCCUCAUUUGCAUCAUUCAUGAUUUUCUAUGAGGACUUUCCUUGUUGGCCGUCACGACUCGUGUGAAUGGGACCAAAAGCCUCAUAAGAAACAUUUCUUAGAUUUAGGAUUGCAUUUCUCAUUCAUUAGUCAAAUCCAAUUUGCAAUACAUACUUUGGGUAGAAAAUAUAGGAAAAUAAGGGUAAUCACGCAACUAGCCUUGGUUAGGUCGAAGGGGUGCCUUGGAUUUUUAUCCUUGCCUUCCCCUUCGUCAAAUGUGACUCCCGAACCUUUUUCUUUGUUUUACGUGGACUAGGAGUCGUUUAAAAAGGGUUUUCUUACUUUUUUCUUUAAAAAUUUCAUUUUUUGGGUGACUUGGUACACCCUAACUCUAUACCAAGUGGCGACUCCACUUUUCAUAUAAAAACCCUUUUUGAACUAUUUUUCUUGGGUCAAAUCGUCGCAUUUUCAAAAGUCCCAUUUAGACCCAUUUUUGUUUUUAUCAACAAAAUUCAUUUUUCCCAAAUCAAUAAAAUUCAACAAAAAAACAAUUAUUUUAUUUUUUCCAAAAAAAGUGGGGCGCGACAGUUGGCGACUCCACUGGGGACUUCCUAAGUGGGUCCAAGCAUUUGAUUUAGCCAUUCUUUUCCUUUUUUCUACCCUUUUUAUGUAUAGCAUUUGGAUAUUAGGAUUGCAUUUUCCCUUUCUAGGACUUUUUGCCACGUACGCGCAUAUCAAACUACUCCCUCACUCAUGUAUGUAUGAUUGGAUGAUUGGAUGUAUGAUUGUACUUGCUUUAUCUCGCGCUUUGCAUUUGCAUUUUGGGGGGGGGGUGUGUCACCCUUAGAGCCACGCGUUGGUUCUCGAUCCCUCCCCUCCAAAACGUAUACUAUCAUACGCGCAUACGCUUUAUUAUUCAUCCCUCUUUAUUUUCUUUUUAGUGGCUUGUCACGCCACUCCACCCUAUUAGGAUUAGGAGACCCACUUGGACGUGUGAUCGUGACACGACGUGUGCGUAGCACGAUCCAAUGGGUCACUCAAUCUUCCGCUUUAAACUUUGGGUUGAUAGCCUUUAGUUUUUAGUCGAAGGUUGAGGGUUUUUUAUAGAUUCACUCAAACAUGCAGCCGUAACACGACGUGUGCGUAGCGGUGUUUGGGGAAUCGCUCGAGCCACCGACAAAGGGCCUUGGGAUUGAUGACCCUUGGCCACGAGUCUGAAGGCUUGGGGACCUGAGCUUAUCGAGUCUAGAUGCAUUAGUGAACCCCAACCGCAUGCAUCCAUAUAGUUCACCUAGGGUAGAGUCUGCCUUGCCCUAGUAGAGACACCAUUCACGAGGGGAGGGAUCCCACCCUUUUCCUUAUUUACUUUUCCUACUUUUUAUAUCAUUUAAUUGUCCAACGUGUUAUGUGAUUAUGUGUUGAACUAACUUUCCUUGUCUCUUGCCUUUGCAUUCACAAACGUUAGGAAAUAAGAGGUCGGGCAUGACCUUCUUUUAGGACAUACCCUUAUAGAUAGGCUAUUGCAUGUUUAAAAAUUGUGGUAUAUUUCGUUCAUAAAUUAAUAAUGCCAUACCAUUUUAGGCCUACCCUGGCAGAUAAAGGGUUCCUUAGGUCAUGUCUCAUUUCAAAUUGCAUAUCUUACUGCUUUUAAUAAACUGGCAUCACGCAUCCACCCUAGGAAGGGAAUGCCAUUUAGGGGAUCCCGUGUUUAGGAAUAAGCCACCAUAUGUCUCGGAUACUUAAUCCAAGGAGACUUGCACGUUUACAUUUUUUGUAUCAUCCAAAAGGGUAGUGCACAAGGUAAGGUAGGAUCCGAUCAUUUUCAUAGAGCGAUCUUUGGAAUAUGAGCGUCUAAUAAUCACCUUUUGGCCACUUUAUCAAAAUUGGUAAAAAUCCCUUGCGUAAAGGACAUUAAUUUGAAGAAACCCAAAUAAUUCUUCACUAUUGAGACGAUAAAUCAAUGGAGGCCAAAUCUUGAUUUUAGGAGGCUCAUAGACUAAGGCAUUGUAAUGAUUUCUUGAAACUACCCAAUGGGUAGAGAACUCAAUCGAUUUUUGAACAAAUCAUCCAUUUUAUCCAAUCCAUUUUUGUCAAUUCAUUCAAUUUUAGUUCAAUCUAAUCAUUUUUGAAUAAAUUCAUUUCAUCCAAUUCAUUUGACCAAUUUACCCUUUUUAGGGUCAUCCGGUCAAUUUUUGAAUAAAUCAAUUCAUUUGACCAAUUUACCCUUUUCAGGGUCAUCCGGUCGAUUUUUGAAUAAAUCAUCAAUUCAUUUGACCAAUUUACCCUUUUAGGGAUUUGGCCGAUUUUUAAAAUAAAUCAUUAACUCCAUUUCAUCUCUUUGGCCAAUUUACCCAUUUUUAGGGCGAAAUCAAGUUGAUUUUGAAGAGAUCAUCAAUUUCAUUCAAUUCAGUUGACCAAGUCUAUCUAUUCGAUCAAUUUUGAAUAAAUCGUCAAUGUUAUCCAGCUUACCUAUUUUUAGGUAAAUCGGUCGAUUUUGAAUAAAUCACCAAUUUUAUCCAUUUGACUCGCUUUUUCCCCUUUAGGGUUCAUUGAAUAAAUUAAUCGAGACAUGGCAAUCCCUUUCACAAAUCAUUUUAUGUGUAGAUCAAAGCAAGCAAUCCGUUCCGACUUCGUCCUCAUGUUUUAGGGCAAAUGUCUCUUCUCACUCCAAGUGGCCAAAUUUUUCAAAUCAUUCCUCACACGAUCAGUCGAUCGGAUCCAUCAGGUAUUGUAUAGUGCCUGCUCUGGAGGACUGCAUUUUCAUGCUAGGCCUACCCUUGGCACAAAAGGGUUCCCCCAUAGGACAUGCAUCCGAAUUUUCUGAAUAUCUACUAACUCUUGUUUUUUUUCUUUUCUUUUUCUUUGUUUUUAUUGGAAUAACUAAGCAAGGGUUAAAUCUAAAAGCAAUCUUUUCAAAAUUCUCAGGUAAUAUUUAAAUAUAGCUUCUCGUCGAAGCCCCAUCAUAACGCGAUCCCGUAGUCAAGCCCAGAGGAGUCGUGUAAACAUGAGUUCACAACCAGAACAGUCAGAUAGGUCUGCUACUACCGCUCAACCCGAGACUGCAAGUUUGGGGAUUCAGUUGACUGAGAUGCUUACCAAGUUUGGAGAGAUGGCGUCUGAGAUGGCCGCCCAAAAGAAGUUGAAUGAUGAGCUAAUUAGCAGCGGAGUUCAACCCGAACCUGUACCCGCCAGACAGCCUGAGCAAGAGCCAUUUGUCCUACCUUCGGCCCAUGCCACUGUUACUCCAUCAUUUCCUAUUGCACCCGAAGAAACUUUCACCUAUCCCACCACAAAUUUGCCAUACACUUACCCUCCUCAUCCUUCAUUUUUUCUUACUCACACGCGAGGUCUACCACCCCAAAUCACUUCAAAUAUACCACCUGAGCCACAUACCUUUUAUCACCCUGUUGCUGAGCCAUUCCUACCAGAUCAUACUGUUCAAACCAAGGCAGAAAUGGGGGAAUCUUCUGCUCCCGUUGAUAUAAAGCUGCUCAAACGUCUUGAUCGUUUUGAUGAGUUUAUGAGGAAGAGUCAGGGGUUGAACAAGCAAGGAGUCCUGGACUACGAUGAGCUUUGUCUCUUUCCCAAUGUGCAAUUGCCUGAGGGGUUCAAAACCCCUAAGUUUAACAAGUACGAUGGGACGGGUAAUCCCAAGACACACCUCCGACUAUUUGCUAACAAGUUAGGAAAGCCUGUAGACGACGAGAACCUGCCUCUAAGGUUGUUCCCGGAAAGUCUGGAGGGGGAUGCCCUCGACUGGUACUCAAAUUUGAAGCCCGAAGAAGUAAAAACCUGGAUUGACUUGUCCAAUGCUUUUGUAAGGCAAUAUGAGUAUAACUGCGAGCUGGCUCCGACACGAACCACGUUGGAAGGAACAAAAAGAAAACCCUCCGAGGAUCACAAGACUUAUGCCAAGAGGUGGAGGAAGAUAGCUGCCAAGGUCGAGCCACCGAUGACUGAGGACGAAAUCAUACGCACUUUCAUUAAAGCACAUGAUCCCCCGUAUUUUGAAGAAAUUUUCCGCAUGACUGGAUGCUCGUUCGCCGCCAUUGUCAAUAAACUUGAGGAGUACGAUGACUUCGUGAAAGCUGGGAAGAUUGUUAAUGUCUCUGCCCUCAAAUCCCAGUUGGAUGCUUUGCAAGGACAGGGGACUAGUGAGAAGAACCCGCAAUUUAAAAAGAAAGAGGGGGAAACUGCCUUCACCUGGAAUCAAAACCCUGUCCCAAGACCCAGACCUCGACAAUACCCUACUUACUCAAACCCUUACCCCUACUACUUAAAUCCUCAUCCUGUUUACCACACCAAUAUCACUCAUCCUCGACCUCGCCCAAAUUAUGCCAACCCGCCUACAACCCCUUUCCAAAUAUCUCAACCAAGCUUUCAACAAGCUCGUCCUCGGCCUCCUUACCACCAAAGAUUUCCCCCACCAAAUAGACCCACCUACAACUAUCCCCGACCCACUGAAACCUACAAUCAAAGCCGUACCCGAACCUUCACCAACCUAGGCAGGCCUUUGGACCAAUUGUAUGAGCAAUUGAAGGUUGCCAACAAAAUGGGCGUGAUUCCCCCUCCAACUUACCUUCAUGGCAUGCCUGCUGGGUACAAUCCACAUGCUAUUUGUGCCUAUCAUUCGGGAGUACCUGGCCACUCAACCGCCGAUUGCAGGGCACUUAAGCACAAAGUCCAAGACAUGAUCGAGGCAGGAGAAAUAGUGCUAAGGAAAAGAGGUGAACAAGGGCCGAUCAUAAGUACAAAUCCUUUUCCUGAACACCAGGACACCUUCGAGGCAUCCACCUCCAACGACGAAAUUUGAAAAUCCUGAAGGAGCUUUGCACAAUUUGGAUGGCCGAGUAUCUUCCCUCUCGAAGGGAAUUUCGGUAAAUCUAGGGGUUGUUAUUUACUAAAGUUCACAAAAACCAUUUCUUGCAUAUGUGAAUAGCUUCAUGAAAACAUCUUUCGCAAUUAAGUUUUUGUCUUGUUUCCGCUUUGAUUAGUUUUUCCAUUAAAUGCACAAUUUGUUUAUUUGAUUAUUGUCCUGAAUUUUAAUUCUUUUAAAUGGCCAAAGAUGAAAUUAUUUGACCCUUUGAAUAUCACUGUUCUGGAUUCCGAUAAUACCAUUCAUCUAAAAAUCCCUUCAUUAAGAAAUCCCUUCAUUGAAAAAUCCCUUCUUUGAGAAGGUCAGAAAUCCCUUCGUUGAAAAAUCCCUUCUUUGAGAAGGCCAAAAAUCCUUUCGUUGAAAAAUCCCUUCUUUGAGAAGGCCAAAAAUCCCUUCAUUAAAAAUCCUUCAUUGAAAAAUCCCUUCAUUAAGAAAGCUCUUCAUUGAAAAUCUUUUCGUUAAGAAAGCCUUUCAUCAAGAAAUCCCUCCUCUGCCAAGUUCUAAGCUGAUUGGUUAAAGCAGCGUCACCGACGAUUGAUUUUGAUGGAUGAAAAGCAGUUGAAUGUCGUAUGGCCUGUGUUCAUAACAAAAAGGUCCGCCACCGGUCCUUUAGAGAAGAAGGACAAAGAGUUAAAGCGAGAUUUGCCAAUGCAAGAUGAAAUCAAAGACGAAUUUGGCCUAAACUGGUAAGGCCAUUUGUCAUUCAAAAAGGUGCUACCGAGUGGAGCACUUAUCCUUGAAGAGAUGGACGGACAAACAGUCUCUCAACCUAUCAACUCAGACAUGUGUAAGAAGUUUUAUUUUUAAUUAUGCAAAUUUCUUUUGGAAAUCAUGCAAGGGACGAGGCAAAGGUCAGGCCAUCUUCCUUUCCAAUCAAGACAUUUCAUCCCUAGUCAUCCCUUUUGAGCUAUCAGAACAAUAAUUUUCGUUUGGCAGCCCCUGAGAAUUGCAAACCCCACACUGGGACAAAUUCAUUUUGAAACGAGAUUAUCAGAGAGGGAAAAGGAAAAAUCCCCAUACUGGGGCAAAUUCAUUUUGAAAAAAAGGGAAAAAGGAAAAAGAGGAAAAGAGAAAAGAAAGAACCCCACACUGGGGCAAAUUUAGUUUUUGAAGGAAAAUGCAAAAAGUGAGGAAAAUGCAAUGAAGAAAAUGCAAAGAAAGAGAAAAUCCAAUCAAACUGGGGCAAAUUUCCUCGGUUUCGUUCAAAAUUAGAGAUAAUUUCAAAAUGAUGCAAUCUCAGGUUAUUUCACACCUUUCAUCAAACCUGCUUUCAAGCCUCAACUUUUCUUGAAAAACACCCCACCUGACCUCAUUACAAAAGCCCAAAAGUCCUGACUUUCGUCACUUGCUGUAUUUCUAUUAGGAAUUUCGCUAAUCAAUUGGCAAGUGAUGUCUAUAAUGCCUUCACUUAAACUUCUAAGGGAAGUGCAUUUUACUGAUGCCAGAAAUCUUCAACUCAUACUCCUGAGUCGAUCAUGGUUGAGCUCUUUCAUUUGCGUCUUUAGGUGAAAACCCGAAAGGGCACCUCAAAAAAAAAAAAGAAAAGAAAAAAGAGAAAAGACAAAACGAAACAAAAAGGGGGGGCAACCUUGGUAAAAACCCGAAAGGGCACCAAGGUAGGAUUUUGCAGCGAGCAAGCACAAGGAAGAACAGCUGGUGAUUUGGUUCAUUUGGAUUUCUCCUCAUUUUGUCAUACUUCUGUCAAUUUUGAAUUCCAGAACAAAGAUAUCCAGAGAAUUGAAUAUGACAUUUGUUGGCCAAAACUGUGUCAUUUUGUAAAACAUUCUUUUGCAAAUACAUUCUUAGGAAGCUCAUUUUUCCAAAUUACUUGCAUUCAUGGCAUUUUUGUAGAAUUUAAGCAUAAGUGGUUAUGUGUGCAUUCUUGUGCAUAUUUAUUCUUUCAUGACAUGUGAAUUUUCUUGCAUACUUCAUUCUUUAUCUUUGAAUUUUGGUGAAUAACAAUCCCCGUGAUUUAUUCGAAGCAUACUUGGGUUCAGUCAUCUCUUGAAAAGGGUUAAGGUUCAACAAAGUCAGUUACGCAGACUUCACAAUAUGGCAAAGCACAUACCUGAUCAGUUUGUAAAUCAGAAAAGCCUUAGGAUGAAAAAUCCAACUCAAUCGACUGCCGCAGCAAAAGUUGAUAAAGGCGUUGAAAGACUCAUGUUUACACGAUUCUCAAAGGAAAACGGAUCAAGUGAUGGUGGCAAUUUCUUUGUUUUCUUUUCUCUUUUGCAGAAAAACUGCAUACACAGAUGAAAGUAAUCACACCUCGCACUGGAAUCGGUGUCGGAAAGAGUUCUCCGGUGAACAAAGGCAGAUUGAAAAUGUCGCAAGCAAAUUUCAUCGAAAAAUGCAACAGCAUGGCGAUACAGAAUCAACUCUGGACUCACAUUGCAAAAAUUCAUCAUACUGGGGCAAAUUAAUUUUUCGGAAAGAUUUUCAAAAGUCAAAAAGAAAAGCAAAAAGAAAAAAAAUCAUCAAUAAAAAAAUGAACACAAAUUUUAUCGCGGCAGGCUCGGGUUUAAUCCCACUGACCGAUUGUCAAGGCAUUUUUAUUUUACUCUGCCACUAGCUGUGAGUCAGUCCCACUAGUGCGCAUUUCAUUUUGCAUCGCCACUAGCCGUGGGUCAGUCCCACUAGUGAGCAGUUCAUGAUUCAAAGCAUAUUUGGGUCAGUCCCACGAUCAAAAGCUUAUUCGGGUCAGUCCCACGAUCAAAAGCAUUUUCGGGUCAGUCCCACGAUCAAAAGCAUUUUCGGGUCAGUCCCAUGAUCAAAAGUUUAUUCGGGUCAGUCCCAUGAUCAAAAGCAUAUUCGGGUCAGUCCCACGAUCAAAAGCAUUUUCGGGUCAGUCCCACGAUCAAGAGCUUAUUCGGGUCAGUCCCACGAUCAAGAGUUUAUUCGGGUCAGUCCCAUGAUCAAAAGCAUAUUCGGGUCAGUCCCAUGAUCAAAAGCAUUUUCGGGUCAGUCCCACGAUCAAAAGCAUAUUCGGGUCAGUCCUAUGAUUCAAAGCAUUUUCGGGUCAGUCCCACGAUCAAAAGUUUAUUCGGGUCAGUCCCAUGAUCAAAAGCUUAUUCGGGUCAGUCCCACGAUCAAAAGUAUUUUCGGGUCAGUCCCACGAUCAAAAGCAUUUUCGGGUCAGUCCCAUAAUCAAAAGUAUUUUCGGGUCAGUCCCACGAUUAAAGCUUGUUCGGGCCAGUCCUAUGAUUUGAAUUUCCUUCUCUAGUCAGUCCCAAUUUUAAUUUCUUUGUUCGGAUCAGUCCCGUUUUAAAUUUCUGUCUGGGUCUUUCCCAUUUAAAUUUCUGUCUGGGUCUAUCCCAUUUAAAUUUCUGUGUGGGUCUAUCUCAUUUAAAUUUCUGUUCAAGUCUAUCCCAUUUACAUUCCUGUCCGGGUCAGUCCCGUUUUCAAUCCAUGUUCGGGUCAGUCCCGUUUUAAAUUCCUGUUCGAGUCAGUCCCGCUUUAAGUUCCUGUUUGGGUCAGUCCCGUCUUUAAAUUUCGUUCGGGUCAAUCCCGCUUUAAAUCUCCUGUCUAAGUCAAUUCCAUUUUAAAAGUUUUGCCAAAAGGGGUCAGUCCUUAUUUCUAAAACGUCCACCGUUCGUGACGUUUGCCACCGAAUAAAGCAGGUAAGUAUUUGGUGUCUACUUUUUUGUCUCAAGUUUUUCCAAAACUCAGACAAAGAGGGGCAAACUGUAGACACCAAAUUUUUGGUGUAAUUUCUUUUACUUUUUAUUCUCAUUUGUCGUGGUUACUUUUAGUUUUUUUAGUUUCUAGUUUCUAUUUUAAUUUUUAAGUUUUAACGUAGAAAAAUCAUGGAAAAAGAGAAAAAAAGGAAAAUUGUUCACAAAAAUACGUUCAAAUUUAAUUUUUUGGCAUUUUGGUUAAUUUAUUUUGAAAAAAAAAAAAAGAAAAAAUGAUGAGAAAUGAUGAAAAAUGAAAGAAAAGAUCGAAAAUGGUAAUUUUGUUAUUUUUAGUUUGUUUAUUUUGAUGUGUUUGUAAUUAAAAUUGUUGUUUUUAUUAUUAUUUAGUUUUACUAUUAUUUUUGUUAAAUAAUUAAGGUGAAAAAAAAAUAAAAUAAAAUAAAAAAAAAACAACAUUCUCCACUUCACCAUUCUUCAGAAGAAAACCGCGACUCCAACCUCCUCAAUACCGCACACCAUUUCCAUUUACUCUCUACACCAUCAUUCCCCAAAACCACAACCCCAUUUACCCACCUUGUAAUCAUCGACCGAGGGGAAGGAGAGAGAGCUGCACUUACAGCCGAGAGGAAGGAAAGGUAACUGCGAGCUCUUCGUUUCUGUUCUGUCCGUGAGCUGAGGGGAGAGAAUCGGACACCACUCUGCACUUCCAAGACCUCCACCAGCUGAGCUCAACCACACCCACCAACUUCACAGCUAGCCUACGCAAACCAAACUCAGCCAGCCAUACUUUACUUCCAUAGCCAGCCGAGAGGAAAAUGUUGCAGCAAACCAUCGUGUGAGCUGAGCUCUUAACUGGGGCCACUCAUUUCCAUUCCACUACCUCAGCUCACAACAACAUUUCCCUGCCUUGGUAUCAUCGACAAGGGGAACCAGAGAGAGAGCCAUGCGAGUUGUGAGCUGCAACUUCCCUGUUCUGUCCGAGAGUGCGAGAGAGAGGGAGAGGCCGAACUGCAAUUUCUUUUGCUGUCUCUGUUCUGCCGUAAGCUGAGGGAAGAGACCAGGGAACCAUCACCUUCUUCGUCAACCCCAGACCAACAACCACCAACUGCAACCUCAACCAAGCUGCACUUCACCAUUUCCAGCCGCAACUCAUCAAACCAGAACCAGCAAACCCCGCGGAAGAAGAGAGCCGAGAGGGAGAAAAUUUUCAGACUUUCUGUGCAAGAGCUUAGCUUGCUGUGAGGUAAUUUCUGGACUUUUUAGGUUGAUUACUAGUGGAGGAAACUAUAUGCGAGUUGCAUGUGAGGCUUGUACAGUCGGUGGAUAGAAAUCAAGCCAUUAGGAAAUUUCUGCUUUGGCUAAGUGUGCUGCCGAGAAACUGAUGAGAGAAUGCAGCUGUAUUUCUGUUUUUCUAGGACAAUCUGAGUACCUAAGUGUACUUAGCCGAAUGAAAUUGUGAUGAUUAAAACCAUGCAUGUUAAAUUGUGCAUUCGGAUGAUGUUAUGAAGCAUGCAGAAAUUCUGUUUUGGCUAAAUGUCUCUGCCGAUGAACUAAUUUGGGACAUGUAAUUUUAAUUCUGACUCCAUGUGAUAAUCUGAGCUUAAUUGAGGAUCCAAUUUGAUAGAUAAUUUUUUAUUUGGUGUUGCAUGUGAACCUUAUGGCCAGGAAUCUGAUUGCAUGGCUGGAUUUUUUUUUUUAUUAGAAGUUGUUGGACUGCUAAACACUUUUCCCGCUUAGCCGAUGGAGUUGUUUUGGGAGUUGUAUGGGUAUUUUAGAAUGAGAUUUGCUGGAAAGUGUUUGAUUCUCACUUGGUUGUGUGUUUAGCUAAUUAAAUGCUGGAUGAUUAAGCCCUGCAUGAGAUGAUUUAGCUGUGUGUAAACCAGAAAUUUGAAUGAAACCAAAAAUCUGCUGCAUGCAUGUCAUCCGUAAAUAGUUGAGCAAAUUCUGGAAUUUUGGAUGAAUGUUGUUGGUGACCGACCCUGCUUUGGACUAGAAUUGAUAGUAACUUCAUUUAUUAGUCAUGCAUGAUAGCUUUGAGUACAUAAUUCAGUGAUUUGGCCAAAAUUGUUGACACAUAGUUGCUGGAAAUGUUUCAAUUUAUCCGAGGGAGGGAGAAAGAAUUUUUCCAGUUUAGACGUGAGCUUUCAUAAUUGUUCCCUUGCUGCACUUUCAUUUAGCCGUGGUUUCCUUUGGUCAUUCCUUUGCUGCACUUUUCAUUUAGCCAUGAGUUGCACAUCUUAGUUCCUUAGCCGCAUUUUUCAUCUAGCCAUGAGUUGCACAUCUUAGUUCCUUAGCUGCACUUUUCAUUUAGCCGUGAGUUAUCAUUUUGUUUCCUUCGCUGCAUUUUUCAUAAACCCAUAAGCUUGAUGAGCUUUAUAUGUGCGAGGUUCAUGUGAAGGGAGUUGCGACAUAGCAACAGAAAUUUUCGUCGUAGAUGGUUUUCUUUCUUUUGCUGCAGUUCAUCUUCAUAAUUUGCUGUUUUCCUAGAUUCUCGCAACAAUACAUAAGCUGGUUUGCUCAUUUCUUUUCGCUAGCUGAAUUAGGUGUAGAAAGGGGUGGUGUUUGAUUGGUUUUGAAGUUGUAUGCUCGGCUCUAAACAUUGUGAACCCCUUUUUAAACAUUGCUGGAUUUUUGAUGAGAUUAGAAAUGUUGAAUCUUCUUGGCAUAAAAUUUCCUAGCACUUGCAUGUUUGUUCCUGAUAUGUUUUGGUUUGUUUGGGGAAUCAAGUUGGGAGUUAUGUUGUUUGACUCAAAGUGGGGAUGUUGCUAGAUAAAAUUUGUCCAAGCUUGGCGUUAGUUUUGCCAAAAUCUGUUUGAAAAAAAAUGAAAAUGCACCAGUCUUUGAGUGGGUUUUUGUAACAAAAGUGCAGCAGUUUUUUUGGUUUUGUAAACUUGCAAGAAAUUACUUUGAUUAAGUAUUGUUUAAGCAUGCUUUAAUUAGAGUUAGUUUAACGCUUUGUUAGCUAAAGAUUCAUAGAUGAAUUUGUGGAUAAGCUAGCUUAGCCUACCAAGAUUUUCUUGUUGCUGCCGAAACUUCCUUGUUGUUUUGCCGAAAGUUUCUUGUUUGUUGCAGAAAAUUUUGUUCCUCACGUAUGCAUGCAUGUCAAUAUUUCUGAAUUUAACACUUUGACCCCCCAAGUCCCCUCUUGACUCACUAGGGCCCAAGUAAUUGGAACAUUUAAUCAAUUUGAUCCUUCUAAGUUUCUUUUUGUUCCACAAGAGCCCAAGCAUGUUCUAGUAUCUUGUAAUUAAGUCCUAAAAUCAUUGCAACUUCAAUCAUUGUUUGACUUUUCCUUUAUUUUUAAGAUCUUUGAAGUGCUUAAACGAUUUAUUUGGACUUGAAUGUUUGAGUAAUGCUUGUUUUGGGUCUUUAGUAGAUGCUAUAUUUGGAAAUUGAACGGGUUAUUCCGUUUUCUUGGUCUUUAAGCAUUUUUUGAGCUCAUUCAAGUUGCAAUUAGGUGGGUUUUGAUGUUUUUGCUUAUACUUUACUUUUAAAUUGAUGCCUUGACCCCUUUAUUGUUUUGAAGCCAUUUUCCUUCAUUUGCUUAUCAUUAGGGGAAGGUAUAACUUUCUUUUAUCCUCUUUACUUCUCUCUUACGUGCUCCUACGUGUUACGUGAAUAUGCAUGUCUACUUUGCUUUCUUAAUUCCUUGCAUUUAUUUCGUUUACUUUUACUUUUAUUUAAAUUAUUCAUUAUGGGGUAUGUGUACACCUCUUGGCUUGUAAUAGAUAGGGCAUUGGAGAGCACUUUGUCCAUUUUUCCCCCUUCCCCCAUUUGUUUUAGUUAGCCCAUGUAAUAGUUUCAUUUGCUUUUGGGGUAUUAUUUGGUUUGCUACGUGUUUAAUUUGCUUUAUUAAGCUAUUGCAUCUAGUCGAGCAUGCUAAGUGUUAUGUGCUACGUGUUAUAAGUGAUUUUGCAUGUCUACUUGCUUUCUAUAUUUAUAAAUGAAUGUGAUGGAUGAAUGUACGUUUCCGCUAGUCCAACGCUAGUCGGAAUUCAUAGAAUGGGCUAGUCCAACGCUAGACCCUUAGGGAUUUCCCCUUGUUAGUACAUAUUUGCAUGUUCAUUACAUGUCAUGCAUUCUUUUUAGUUUUAUCAUUUUUUGCAGGCCCCCGACCCCCUUUCCCCUCACUUUAGGUCUUGCAUCUCAUGCUAGUUAGGGUACAUUUGCCUGAAGGACCCCCUUGGGUAAGGGAAACGAGCGAGUGUGGCUUCAAAAUAGCCUUAGCACGCUAGUUUUUCCUUCUAAUCAAAGGAAAAUUAAAAUCACAAAAACUAGAGGUCAUUCCCGUACCCGACCUGAUGCAUUCCUCUAAGUUCAUGCAUUUUCAUAUCAUUUUCUCACUAUUUUCCUCACUAAUUAUAUAUUUUAAAUCCACAUGUCAUAUUCACACACUUAUUCAUUUUCUUUACUUUUCACUUCACACAUUGCACCUAUUUUACUUAUAUAUUUACUAUUUUCAUUCACUUGCACACGAGCAUUUAUAUUUUUAUUCAUUUGCACACAAACACUUUCAAAUUGCACACAUGCACUUUUUUCUACACUUUGCACACUUACACUCUCAUUUGAGUCCUCAUUUGCAUCAUUCAUGAUUUUCUAUGAGGACUUUCCUUGUUGGCCGUCACGACUCGUGUGAAUGGGACCAAAAGCCUCAUAAGAAACAUUUCUUAGAUUUAGGAUUGCAUUUCUCAUUCAUUAGUCAAAUCCAAUUUGCAAUACAUACUUUGGGUAGAAAAUAUAGGAAAAUAAGGGUUAAAUCACGCAACUAGCCUUGGUUAGGUCGAAGGGGUGCCUUGGAUUUUUAUCCUUGCCUUCCCCUUCGUCAAAUGUGACUCCCGAACCUUUUUCUUUGUUUUACGUGGAUUAGGACUUACUUUUUUUCUUUAAAAAUUUCAUUUUUUGGGUGACUUGGUACACCCUAACUCUAUACCAAGUGGCGACUCCAUUUUUUCAUAUAAAAACCCUUUUUGAACUAUUUUUCUUGGGUCAAAUCGUCGCAUUUUCAAAAGUCCCAUUUAGACCCAUUUUUGUUUUUAUCAAAAAAUUCAUUUUUCCCAAACCAAUAAAAUUCAACAAAAAAACAAUUAUUUUAUUUUUUUCCAAAAAAAAGUGGGGCGCGACAAACACUAUUUCUAAAAAAUAUUCUCAAUGUGAUUCAUUUUCAAAUUUUAUUCCCAUAAUGAUGUCUUCACCCAAUUAUCCUGAUUACCAUGUAGAAUAACAAGAAAGGAAAGCUUUAAUCUAAUCUAUUGUUUCCAACAUGGACUAAAAAUUUAAUUUUUUUAUUAUAGAGGUACAAGAAAAUUGCAUAACUUUGAUAAUUUCCUUAUAAUUAUUUGAAAUAAAUUCUACCAUUAUUGAUCUUGCUAUUAUUGGUCUCUGCAUUUUUUUUUUUGAAAUGUAUCAAACCUAUUGUAUAUAUUUUUUCAAAAAAUAAAUUUGAAAAAUACAAAAAUUGCAAUGAAAAUUGUAAGCAAUAACAAGAAAAAAUUACAAAAACUUCAAGGCUAUCAUAUCUAUUUAUGUUGUUAUGUAGUUUUUCUCCUAGACAUUUUAUCAAACACAUGGUAUGAGAAAUCAUUUGUUAUACAAUUAGUAUUCAAAUUUUUUUGAAGGCCAUAGCAAUAUUCCAAAAAUUGAACAAUGGAAAAGACAAGAAUAAUCUUCAUUUACCUUGAAAUUAUCAAUUCAAAAAGAAUAUUUUCAUCCACCAAAAUAAUAUCAAGGAUGAUAAUGAAGUUUUAGAUGUUGUUAAUAUAACUAUUGACUUCUCAAAAUUACAUAUGACAAGGAACAGUUAAUGAAAUGAAAAAAAUGUGGGAAGAUUCAAUGAGAGAACAGGGAAGAUAUUAGAUGGAAAAGAGAAAUAAAGUGUGUCUAUAUCUCUAUCCUGGCACAUGUGCAACCUUUGUGGCAAAAAAAGGAUCAUAAUUGUAAUAAAUUUUAAAAUUAGGUUACUUUGGGUAUAUGAUUUGGAAGGAGAGUUAUUUUGGCCGUAAACUUGAUAUUCAUGCGUUAUUAUUUAGUUAUGGGUUAAUUUCACUUUGUCCCCCCAAACUUUGGACGAUUAUCCACUUCAGUCCCUAAACUUCAAAAUGGGACACUUAAGUCCCUAAACUUAUAAAUACCUCCCACUUAAGUCCCUAAACUUAUAAAAUGAGACACUUAAAUCCCUAAACCCUUAUAAAAUGGGACACUUCGACCACCAACGACAUUCAGGAUUUGUUAACAAUUUUCCUUAAGUGGGAGGUAUUUAUAAGUUUAGGGACUUAAGUGUCCCAUUUUGAAGUUUAGGGACUGAAGUGGGUAAUCAUCCAAAAUUUGGGGGGACAAAGUGGUAUUAACCCUUUAUUUAUUGCAUUAUUACUAUAAUUAUAAGUAGCUACAUACCUUUUCCCUAGAGUUGAAUGAAAUCUAGUGAUCCUUAGUUCUUAAUUUAGCUUGGUUGAUUGGUGAUUCUGCAUGGUAUUUCAUGUAUUUGUUUUUAUCUUAGCAAUUAAAGUACACUUAAUAGUGACGAAACUUAGGUCUUAAUUAAUAGAUGGUAUUAGUUAAUACUAGUUUGUGAAGAUAUAAAUCCUAAGUAACAAUUCACGAAAGUAGAGAAGUACAUAGAGAAUAAUUACAUAAUCUCUUGAUCUUAAUGAAUCUUCAAUUAGGUUUAGAUUACAACAGUAUACUAAAUCUGAUUAUUGGUAUGUGUAAUUCACUAGCGAAAGUGUAUUUCAUAAAGUUAGGAGGAUUUACCAUAGUUUUGCAUAAAAAAAUUGAUUAAUUGACCAAGAUAAGAUUAUGGUUAAAACAAUAAAGGAAAUCAAAACCCUAAGAUUUGUCUAUCUUUAAUGCUUUGUGAUUUUUUUGCUUCUUGUUUGAUUUGUCUCUUUUAGUAGUUUAGGAAUUUCUCGUUUCAUGUUGUUAUCUAAAUAAUUGAGAAAAUUUGAAACAUUCAGGUUGUUAAUUUCAUUUCUAUGGGAUCAUUACUUAAAUACUCUCUGUACUAGCAUAGGAGUUGUACUAUUGUAGGUCAGAAGUAAGGAUCCUUUCAUGCCCUCAAGAGAUCCUAAACUUCAUUGAUGCCCGAUCUUAUUGCCUCACAUUAUCUCUCGAUUCCAACUAGGCAAACCCAAAUAGUCAAAUUUCUCAACAAGUUUUUGGCGCCAUUGCUAGGAAAAUUCUUAAUUAAUAUCAACAAUAAGAAUUGUUUUAUUAGUUUAGACAUUUUUUUGUUGUUUGGUUUCUUUUCUUUUGUUGUCGUGCGAGUAUGUUUUUUAUUGCUUAUUUCAUUUAGUUUAUGCACUUUUCUUCAUGUGGUAUUUUGGCUUUUAGUUUAGAAAUCAUGAAGUUUGUAUGAUCACAUAGGAGAAUCAAAUUGGAUUUGAAGGAAACAAGUCCAAAGAAAGAAAAUGAGAGUUCAAAGGAAGGACUAAAAAUGGUGGAAGAUACAAAUCCACCUAGUCCACUCAAUCCAAUGGGUCUAUGCAAUGUUGCUUUACCAAGUGUUACCAGGCACAAACAAACAUCAUGCGUCCUACUGUGCAUACGAACAACUUUGAAUUCAAUCUUUAUUGAUUCAGAUGGUGCAGUAAGUUCAAUUCUGUGAAAAUUCAAUGGAGGAUCCCAAUGCUCAUCUUGCAAAUUUCUUGGAGAUACGUGAAACAAUCAAGUUUAAUGAGCUAAGCAAAGAUGCCAUCAAGUUAUGUCAUUUUUCUUUCUCUUGUGAGAGUACACUAAGUAUGGCUCUUCUCACAUCCUUCCAACACUUUUUUACAUAUCAUGAUUUAUAUAAAACUUUUUUUUACGAAUUAUAUUUUACCAAGUAAAAUUGUAAAGUUAAGAAAUGAAAUAACUAGGUUUUUUUUGCCAAUUAGAAGGUGAAUUACUGAAUAAAUCAGAGGAAUGAAACAAGGGCUUGCCAAGGAAGUGUCCUCAUCAUGACCUUCUAGAGCGGUUGACUAUUCAAACAUUAUGUAAUAGUCUAACCUAUUCUAUGAGAAUUAUAAUUGAUGCAACUAAAUGUAAAACACUUAUGGGAAAAUUUGUUGAGGAGGCAUAUGACCUAUAGGAGGAGAUUGUGGCAAACAACUUUCAAUGGGCUUUAGAGAGAGGAAAUUAAAACUCUAGGUUUGUCUAUCUUUGAUACUUUGUGAAUUCUUGCUUCUUGUUUGAUUUGUUUAUUUUAGUAUCUUAGUAAUCUCUUUCUUCAUCAUAUUAUCUAUAUAAUUGAUUAGUUUUAAAACAUCUUGCCAUUAAUUUUGUUUCUCUACAGGAUACUUGAAUACUCUUUGUACUAACAUAUGAACUGUGCUCUUGUAAGUGAGAAAGUAAGGUUAGUAAACUUCUAAAACUAAGGUUAGAAAAUUUGUUUUGUAGUGUGUAUAUGCUAUAUUUUAACUCAAAAUAAAAUCAAUAAGCAUGGGUUGAACUAAGAAGCUUUUGAAGAUUUAAGUUAGUUAUAAAAUUAUAUCUGUGUCUAAAACCUCAAAAUCAUUGUCGUUCAACAUAACUAAUCUUGCUUGUGGUGACAAAGUAGAUAAAUACUAUUAUAAAUAUAAAAACAACCCCUAAUAUGUAACAAUCCAACUGGAUUAAUCUUUAUCUCCUAAUUAGCUUAAUCUUGGUAACUAUAAAUAAUCUCAGUACUUGCCAUUUUAAGUGUUCCUAUAUCCCAAAAGAUCAUCAUCAUUGAACAAAUAAUCCCCAUUAUGUAUUUCCUUGAUAUGUACUUUUUUAUUUUUAUUUUUAGGGAGCUUCUUUUGGAAUUACAAAUCCUUUCAAAGGAGAAUCUACUUUUACCAUCUCAAUUUUUUGGAAAAGGAAAGGGAUGAGCUCUCUAGGAUAAAAUCUUUCUCUAAAGUGCAAGGGAUCAGAUUUUGUAUCAGCAAAGUAAUUGGAUAAGUUAUUAGGAAUAUGAUGGAAUGAAAAAUUGAAUGACUCGAGGUUUAUUCUUCAACUGCCCUUGAUCUAUGAUAUUGGACUAUCAGGAGUUUGACAGUGUGCCUUAGAAGAUAGAAAAGAAGAUAGCUGGAGGAAUCCAUAGGAGGCCCGCUCAUUAUGCAUUGCAUGAGGGCUGUCAAGAGUUAAAAGGAAAUAAGGAGGCAAGCCCCCACAUCUUACGCAUAUUUUGCUCAUCCAAUAUGGCUUACGACCGAUUGAAAGUAGUUUCACCCUUUCAUCAACCUCAAAAACUGAUUCACAUAUAGGCAAUGCUAUCUAUUGUACCCUUGACUCUAUCUCCUUUCUUAUUACAGGAUUCCCUCUCCAUAGUACUCAAAAGUUCUGUCUUAGCUUUGACUUCUUGAAGCCCUUUCUUUUAGAUAGAAAGGUUCCCCUAGUUUGGUGCAUCUUUGACACAGUUUAAAUAACUAUCCUAGAGUUAAGGUUUUUUCCCUACCAAAGUGUCCAGCAAGACCUCCAACCCUAAUGAAUGGACUAUAAAGUGGUUAGUCAAACUCUUGAGUGGCUCGGAAGUAUUGCACCUGCUGAUAGCUCUACCCCUUCUUUAGGGAUAAAAUUAACUUGACCGUUAGGGCUAGAGCUAUGUUGACAUGUCAAAGUUAACCAAUUCCACCAAAUCCACCUGUCUCUCGGCAAAGAUCGAGUGAGUGUGUAGUUAUGCUUCAAAUGGAGAUUGGAUUACUUAUUUGAUUAUUAACCGCAAAGGUUUCCACGAGGAACCCUGAAUUAUGUUAGGGCAAGAGAAAGAAAGGCAAGGGACAUAAUUUCUACAUAAGAAUAUGACAAAAAACAAUAGUUCUUUUUUACGCUCUCUGAAAUUGUGCUCGAUAUUUGCCAGUACCGGAAGUGGUAAUAAAAGUGAGAAUGUUGUCAUUAAACUAACCAUACAAAUAAGGGGCCUCAGCCUUAUGCACUGCUUAAUUAAGUAUGUGACUCUGUAUGAGAACUUGAUGUAAUUGAACUUGACUAAAAGAAGGCCCAACUGAUAAAAGAUAGAAUCCAAAUUCAAGGCAGAACCAAAGAUAGUUGUGAGAGAAAAGGAGUUCAAAACUCAAAAAAGGCCUAGUUGAUCUCCUCUUAUUAUUAUGAAUAAUAAGUUUGCACUCCUUUUCUAUUUUGCUAGUCAGCGAGCUAGUUUAAUGCUAAGCAAAGUGUACCUUUCCUUACAAAGAGCUUUCUUCUCACUUUUUCUUCUAACUAUUUUUUUGUUGUUCUUAUCCUGCCACUAGAACAACUAAGACAUGCAACAAAAGAACCUAGAAAAGAGUUGAAAGAAAAGAGAGAAACCAAGAUUUUUUUUUGGUUUUCUUUCCAAAAUAAUAUAACCAUCAAUAAACAUAUACCCCCUCUGUCCCAAAAAGUGUGUCGCGUUUUGGGAAUUGCAAUUAUUAUCAACAAUGCAAGGCUUUUAAAUGAUUUGCGUUGAAGUUCUGGCAAUGCCCUCUUGACUUUCAAUAUAUUCAUACGUGGGUGAAUGAUAAAAGGGGCACAAGUUGUGAUAAGACAUGUGGGACCCAAAAGAUUUAAAUGUCUCCACACUACUUUAGAGGAAAGUGUCAUGCAUGAUUGCUACUUGCAUUCCACGUGAGAGUCAUGAACUAUUGAGUGCAGUGUUGGUACUUGGUAAGUGAGCAGAAAUGUGUCAGAUUGGGCCCACUAAAGGAUAAGAAAAGGCUGUCACAUGGAAGGGUAUGGAGUGGAAAUGUGUGAAAGUUUUCAUUGCCAAUUUAGGAAGUGACAAUCAUUUUGGGAUGGAUUAAAAAGGAAAGUAUGACACUAUCAAUGGGACGGAGGGAGCAUAUGAAAGAGAGAGGAAGAGUAAUGAAACUUGUUUGUUUUGUGCCCUUCAAUCAACGACCUUGUGUUGGGAUUGUAGGUUGCAUUGAAUAGUUGUAUCAACAAGCUGUUGAAGUGAAGAUUUUUGAUAACUCAAUAGUAACACAAUUGAAGAUUGACAUUAAUGAUGUUGAAACUAUAGACAUGAUGUUACUCAUCGAGAGUUCUUGAUCACUUUAUAGCAAGUCCAUAUGUUACUAACACUUGCUGCAAGCUUUUAUGUUUUAAUUUUUUAUUCUUGCAAUUAUGUUAAUUAAAAUUAGUGCAUCUGGUUAGAACUAAUGUCGUUUCAUUCAUGUGUGCAUAGUAAUUUUAGUGAUUUAUUUAUGUAUAUUUAUUGAGUAGGAAUUUUGUAGUUUUAUGUAGGUAUAGUUAUUGUGGAUUUGUCAAUUAACUUUUGUAAAUUGAUUUAGAAGUAGUAAUAAUUGGAUUAAAAUGAGUUGUAUCUAAAUUAACUAUUUCUUUAUUGGAAAUCAAAUUAGGAAUGGUUCAAACUUAUUAUUGUGGAGUGAGAAUUUGCUUUGGAUAAUGAUUUGGAAUUUAAAUGUAAAUUAACUUUAAUAGUGUAAUUAGUUUAGUGAGCAGAUUUACUUUUCAAUGUUAAGAAUGAAGUGUUAAAUUGAAAGUGUGUGGAAGUUGUUCCCAACAGAAUGUUAUGAGGUUAAUUAGGUAAUAUUGUUUAAUUUCUAAACUCUAUUGGUUUUUAGUGUUUUAAUGGUUUAAUUUAGUAUUUAAUCUUUUCUUUAUUGAAAGUUGAAUUGGUAGUCUAUUGAUCUUAAUUGGUAUAAUUAUAAUGGUUUUAGAUAUCCAUUUUUUGUCAAGUCAAGAAAGGACUACAAUUACUUUUAAGUAACUUAGUUGCUUCAAAAAUUUCAAUUUAACUCCAAAUUUCCUUGGUUUUAAUGCAGUUCACUGUUCAAGAUUCUUUUACUACUUUUUCGAAGUGAACUUGACUUUUCAAAGUUAUAUAUUGGCUUCAUCUAAUUUUUGAGGAUUAAUCUAUUAAAAUUGAGUAAUAAUUAGGUUUAAACCCUCCUCUUUGAGUAAAUCUUACAAAAAAGAGGAUUUAAAUCUCAUCAUAUUGUAGGUAUGGAACAAGGCUUUAUUCAUAAAUCAUAAUUGGUCUAUUUAUAGUAGUAAUGACUCACGUUGAUUGAUUUGGGUGCAUAUUGUGGAAUUGAAGAAUAAAAAUUUUAUAUUUGUUCCUAUACCAUGUUCAUAUUCUAGGUUUUGAAGGAAAUUAUUACAAUUGAGGCCUUUGGCACCCCUUGGGCGAUUGUUAUUGAAUUUUUCUAAGUGCACUAUUAGGAUGGGUAGUACAAGUCAAGUUAAAGUGGCUUCUAUUGUCAAAGAUGGUGAUUGGUAUUGGCUUGAGGGUAGAAGGAGAGUUGAGAUAGUUCUGAAAAUUGUAAAUAGCUUGUCUUCUUAAUUUAAGCCUGUAUCUUUUGACAAGUGCUUAUUUUGUGUCGCUAAUUAUAUUUGUUUUGGUGUGUUUUUACUCAAGUUUGAAUCAAAUAACUAGGGUUUUAGUUGAAUUUUUUAAUCAAAUAACUAGGGUUUCAAUUGAAUUUUACAUUUUAUAGUUAAAGUGAGAAAAAAUUGUAUUUCUAUGGAGUUAAGUUAUUAAAAUGUCAUGUUUUUUUAGGUUUUGAUGGCUCAAUCAUCAAUUGGAUUAAAAAAAAGAAGAGGUUUGAAUGAUUCUUGAUGAUUUAGAGUUGAUUUCAAGUGAAUAUAAAGUACAAAAUGAUCACAAGAUGAAAUACAAUCAAUUUCAAGAGUCAAAAGGAUUGGUAGCCAUAACACAUCUUGGUAUUUUGGCUAUAAUUUAAUUUCAAAACUUGGAUUGAGAUGAUUCUUGGAUCAUUUUAAAGCUAAAAUUAAGAUUUACAUUUCUGAUAAGACAUAAUCCAAUUCAUAUGAUUUUAUGGUCAAAGAGCUGAGAUACAGAACUUCAUUUCUACUGCCAAACUCUGAAAUAGAGUUUUGACCAGUUGAAGUUAUUUUGGUCAUUUAUCUGCCUACAAAAUUUCAAAUUGUAUGAUUCUUGAUGUGCAUUGGAGGACUUGAACAAACUAGCAUUGGUUAGUUUUUGAGCAUCAUAGGCUAAAAAUUGAACACUGUGAGGACUCAUGUUUUAUUUUUAAAAUAGGCAUUUUUAUAAUUAUUUGCCUUGGAGUUAGUUAACUAUAUUUUAGUUGCAUGAAUUGCCCUUAAAUUUUACUUUAUCGCGUGCGAAUCGAAAGUUCGCGUAUUUCGCGUCAGAACGACUAAAUGGAGAUUUGAAAAAUUAAUACUAGACUAGUAAGAGUGAAUAAUUAUAGUGUUAAAGAAAAUACAUUUGAGGAUUAGUGCAUGAGUGUAUCAAACCUGAGAGAAAUUGGUGGUACGAAACCCUAAUCCGACAACUAUUUAAAGUUGACUUUUGGCAAGUUUAAUGCCUACUUUUCCCUUCAAUCUUCCAAGACAAGCCACAACACACAACUCUCUCAUUUCUCUCUCUCCAUUCUCGGCCAACACAAGAAAAGAAAGGGAAGGAAGAACUUCAUCUCCUAGCUUCCAUUUCACUCACAAAUUUUCCACCAAAUCACUCACAACUUGGAGUACCACUCUAGCUAGGAGCAAGAAGCAAUCUUAUGGAAUUUCUUGGAGAACAUUUCGGUGGAAAAUCUGGUUUUUUCAAGGGUUAAAGGGUAAUCACUCCACCUCUCUUACCUUUCAAAUUAUAAGAAGUUUAAGAGUUAAUCUUCAUGGAUUUGAAACCCUAACCGCGUAUUAGGCUAGCGGACUUGAGGAACCAUUUAUUUCGCUUUAAAUCAUAGGCUAGCUAUCUUGAUAAGACCUCUAGGUAGCUGACUUGAGGCUUGAUUGUUUGAUUAUGAUUGUUUAUGUGAUAUAUAGCUUGAUUAUGGUUAGAAAGUGGAGAGAAAUCGAAAGAAAGUUGUGAAGGCAAGAUGGCCGAAAAUUCUGUCCAUGUUGUUCUGUCUUUAUUUCAGAAAUUUGAUGCUUGGUUGGCUGUGAAAUUGAUGGAUAUAUGUUGUAUAUUGUGUAUACAAAGUGCCUUUCAAAAAUUGUAUCGAAUGGUUGCACAAAACUUGAGUUUUGGAAAAGUUUCAAAUCUGGAAAACGUAUAGCAGGGUACCUGGACAGUAGGUCUUUGUCCGAACAUAACUUUUUGUGUACCAUUAGUGGCAUUCAAAACUAGACAUUCAGAGCUUUCUAUAUAAAAAUCCCCUGCUAGUUCGUUGAGUGAUCCAUAGCGAAUCAGCAAAGUCGUUUGUUCUGCUUUGCCUAUGUGUUCGAAUGAAACUGGAAAGUUGCAUCUUGUGGCUCGAUUUGUCCCACUUGUGAAAAGAUUUUCAAAAUGAAGUCUUCUGAUAAAUUGUAGAAUUUUGAACCUAGUUCCCAAUACCAUAAACCAUUAUCAAUUUGGAGUUGUAUAGAGGUAGAUAUGGUUUGAGUUCGAAAAUGCGACAAAGCUGGAAAUUAGAAGAUUUUCCCUUCCUUGCUGACCGAAUGGUCAAAUCUGUUUUGGGAUGUUAUAUUUUGAAAAAUUUAGUGUCAUUUAACCAUCAAUUGCUUAUUAAAUGGUUCUGGAACCUUGGUUUAAAAAAUGGAGUGAAUUGGUGUGACAGCCCCACCUUCCCCUAAGGCGAACCAAAGGGUUCGGCAGACCGCCUGCCCAACUCUCAUCAGGACUUACUCACUCACUCACUCAUGGCUGAAGUAAAAUAAUGUACAUCCAUAGAAAAUGAAUAACACAUCCACUUCAACUUAAUAUAUACAUUGAUGCUCAAAUCCAGAUACAAAGUUUCUACACACCAAAAAAAAAAAAACUUCAAAGUAUUUACAUUUUGAGUACAAUCAACCCUAGUAGGAUACUAGCAUGAGUACAAAUGCAAAAUUCAAAACAACUAGACUACGCUAAUCUGUACAUGUCUCAUGCCUCGCUCGUACCCCCUGUAAGGAAAACAAAUGGUGUGGAAUGAGCUAAAAGCCCAGUGAGAUUCCAAAUGAUAAAUUGACCAUUUUUAAAAGUACGAAUAUCAACGUAGCGAAUUAAUGAGCAUCAAAAGUUCAAAAAAGUGAACAAUAAUACUUCAAGUAGCAAAUCUCAAAGUGAGCGAGUGUAAAAGUUUUUCAAAAGAAACAAUAAUCCAGUAAGCAAUAAUCAUUCCAAAGUAUAAGGAUAUGGAGGGCUCUCAGGAGCCAAAUUCCCAUUGCAUCACCAGGAGCUUGAUCACGUAAUAGUUGACACUCCGUCAACUUUCAAAUAAAGAAACCAAUCAAGUAGAGUACCACUUACACUACUCUCCGUCCACCACUCAAACCCCCUACUGGGCCCAAAAUCCUCAAUAAACACUGGUGAUAAUACUCGAGUAUACCGAUUAGUCGAUGAGAUAUCACUCCACUCGACAAAACAAAAGACCCAGGGUUCGUUACCCAAUCGACUAAGCCCUUGCCGGCUCGACUCGAGUAACUCGCCACAGGGUUUCUGGAAUUCCAGGAAGUGCGCAACAUAUACACAAAUAUAUCAAAUCCAUUGCAACAAUAAACAAGUGUAUCUCAUAUUAGGGCAAGUGCGAUAAAGUACACUCUUACCUGAACAAACAAAUGACAUAUCAUUAAAUCACAUUGGUCAAGUAUUGAAAACAAGUAUCCAGUUCAAUCAUGUAUUUGGAAGCACUUACCAAAAGUAGUGCCUCUAGUGAUCGUGUCUGGGUUGUACUCCGGGUUUGGAGCCCAAAUCUGCGAUAAAACUUUGUUUAAGAACUUUAAAAAAUCGACUAAGGUUCGAAACUUAGACGUUUCGUUCAAUAAGAAUCAAGAAAUGGAAAUUCACUUGGAGAAUAUUCAUGAAAUACUCGCUCGCUUUUCAAACUAUAUAACUUUGUAACAUUUAUACUUGGAAAUGCCAAUUGAGUCGAAAGUACAAGGAAAACGUAUUCCUAGUAGUCAUGAUUGUAUUUCUCAAGGAUACAAGUUUGGCCAAAUCCUCACUGAUAUACCUCGAUAAAAGAAGACACAAAUAUCCUAGAUAGUUCAAGUGGUAAUCGCUCUUAACCCUUACUCAAAUUGCAAGUAUGUCUACCUAGCUCUUGAGCGUAAAUUUGGGCAGCACGCCCUUUGUAUUUUCCUAUUUUCCAGCCAUUUAUGGCUUCAUUCUUUUCCUCAAUAAAACCCAAAGUUACACACAAAAUAAUCUCAUUUCAUUAGCCGUUCAAUAGGCUCAAGGUCGUACAAGUACAAAAUCAAGCUAGGAACAUGUGCGGAAAUGAAGUUUGAGUCAAGAAACAAAAGACGGAUUUGAUGUUGUUUUGCGUAACGGACACAACCGAUGCUACGCUUAUCGGAUUGAGGUGAAAUUUAUAUCGUUUCGAAGCUAAGUCAGAGGGCUAAAAUUUUGAUGAAGGUCACUUAGUCCAAAUUCCAGUGUAACCCAGUCAAAUUCCCAAUUCACAGAACCAAAUUUCUAACUAACAGGCCAGUUAACCACACUACGUUCAAAUGGCCAUAUCUCAAGCUACCAAAGUCUGUUUAAGACAUUCUUAGGGGCGUUAGAAAGCUAAGAUAUAGUACUAAAACUUUCAUGUUUUGACUAAAAGCUUGUUCGGUACGUAUCAAGGUGAACAAACGCAACCAACUUAGUGUACUGUCAAAACUGUCCACUGACUUUACUCCUAUGGCAGUCAGGGUAUUUUUGUCUUUUCAUAGGCUACGUUGCUCCAAUUGAGUUGAAUUUUGCAGGAAAAUGUAAAACAUCAUUCUCUACAACUUUCAUGUUUUGUGAUAAGCCUAAUUCUACCUCUAACAUAAUGAACUGGAACCGGGCAGAACUGAAACUACAAUUUCCAUAAAUCUGGAAUUUUGUUAUAUUCAAGCUAUAAUUCACAUUUUUACCUUAAAAAUACCACUACUUUCUCCUUUACAAGAUUAUAUACCAUAUAUAUACAUCAUAUAACACCAAACCCACAAGAAAUAUAAGUGAAUCAAUCAAAACCCUAACUCAAAAUUCAUCACUCCAAUCAUCAAAACCAUUUGAAACAAGCAUCACAAACACAAUUCUAACAUUAAUACCCAACUUAAUCAUGAUUAAUGGAGAAAGAAAGGUUGAUCAACCAUUAUACCUCAAGACAAGAGCUUGCAAGAAGGAUCCUCCACUUCUCCUUGAAAUGUUUUUGGUUCCUCAAGCUUCCCAAGCUUCCAAACUAGUGAUUAAUCGGUUUAGAUUUCUUGUUUUCUCACUUAAGUGGAUCAAACUCAAGAUGGAUUGUGGUUUCUUUCUCUUGGCUUUUCUUCCUCUCUCUCUCAGCUGGUGUACUGAAAAUGAGGGGUAAAUUGAGUAGUUUUUAGUGAUAAAGAUGGUGAAAAUUAAUUAGUCAACAAAUCAAUAGAUGGUCGCCACUUGUUGCUUUAAGAUUAACCUUCAAAUUUUGUCCUUUUUCCUUGUUUUUUGGUCAAAUAUUUCGGCCAAGCUUAGCUCAAAAAUGGGGUGAUAUUUUGCACUCAUAUCAAUGGUAUUGUAUGGUAGGAAAGUGGUGGUCAAGUGGUGUGUUCAAAUGGUAGUGAUCGAUACCCGUCAGUUUGAGCCGAUUUUUCUUAAAUCGCGUAUACUAGGGUUUUUAACUUCUACUCACUAACUUAUUAUUAACACUUCUAAUCAUAUAAUAUUUUCUCAUCCAAAUUUGAUCCACACUCUGUACCAAAUAGUCAUACUACUGAAAAACGUAAAAACCCUAAUUCGCUCUAACUUGAAAAUGGACAACGAAAACCCUUAAUUCUAUGUUCUUUUACACUUAUUGUGGGGUGAUUGGGUAGUAGGGCUUUUAUAAAAUAAUAAUUUCCAAAUAAAAGAGCAUUUUUAAGAAAAAUAUAAAGAAUUUUACGGGUCCUCACAAUUGGAGCUGAUUUCGUUGGACAAAACUUUUGGAAAAGAAAAAGAAAUAGAAUGGCAGAUUCAUUUUGAAAGAUUUCACCAACUUUGAUUGUUUCGUUAACUGCCUUUCCGUGCAAGUUUUUGCCUAAAUUUGUAUAGAGAGGUUGUUCAUAUAUGGAGGUUUAAGUGUAUCUAAUUUGGUGUAAUUUCAAUACCAUUUCGAUAUCCAGAUGAUGCCCCAAAGAUUGUUCUUCAAAUCUGUAAAUUCACUGUUCAAGUCGUGAAAAUCAACCGACUUUAAAUUGUUAUAUCUUGUUGCUCAAAACUCCAAAUUUAGUUUUGCUUGUUGUGUUUGAAACUUUAAUUGGGAGUCUUAUUGUGUUACAAAUUUCAAAGGUUGAUUCCCUUUCUGUGAAUUUUGCCAAAUUUCCAAAUAUCACCGAAAACCAAGACCGGUUAUAUCUUGCCUUCUUGAAUCAGCAAAUUUGAACUGAAAAAUGAAUGCUUUCUGCUUGAAAUUUUAAAAAGGUGUCUUCUGGGGACUUUUAGUACUUUAGAUAUAGUUUCCAACGGUCAAAAUUUUUUAUUUUUGGACAUACGAAACUCAAGAUCUGAUUUUACCAAGUUUAUCGCGCAAGCUGAAAAUUCAUGAUUUCUUGGGAAAUGAGUUUUUGAGAACUUUUCAUUGUCUUUCAAUAUCGAUCAUCCAUUUUAAACUCAUUUUCAUGGAGGAUACAAGUUUCUCUUGUGACUUUAAAUGUUCGCUUUUGAAUUUCGAUUUUCGAGAUAUUAAAACUCUUUUAAGACAUUGUCUUAGUAUUACGCAAGUGUACAUUCUUCUUUAUUUGGCAAGGGAUUUGUAAGUAUUUGUGAGUGAUAAUUAAUUGUUAUUUUUCAGGCGCUCAAGAGGAUCUUGAAGAGAAUCUUGGAGCCGACCACUAAAGAUCUUAUUUGCAUUUACUCACUUAUUUUGAAUUGAUGAGUGUCAAGUACAUGAAUAGUUGCCAAUUAUGUAAAUUGCUUCUUAUUGAUUAAGUGAUUAACAAUCGUCGAGUCGAGUGUACUUUAUGACCUCGUUCUCUUUUAAUUGAUUAUAUAAUUGAAUUGCUCAUAGUUGAAUUUAUAAUUAUGGUUGAAUAUGUCGAUUGGAGUGAAUCUUAUCUACUUAUAAUUGUAUUUGUCGAUUGGAGUGAACCUCAUCGACUUAUAAUGGAAAUCGGGGGAUACCUAAAUCUCAAUUGGCUGACCUUGCGACUGGAGCUAGCAUGGGCUUGGUCGAGAAGUUCGGUGAACCAUGAGAUAAUCAAAAGAUUGAUCUAUUAAGAGAUCUCGCUCGACAUACUCGUGGAGUAGUGCCUUUUAUGAAAGAAGUGCGAGUCCGGGACAGGAGGUGUAACGGUGAACGAGAAUUGUAGAGUAAGUGGACUUCUACGGACUUAAUACCUACCCGGUUUUGACGGAGUGUCAUCCCGUGGAGGUAUUUGAUCGAGUCUUGGCGAAACGAGUGGAAUCUAACUCUUGAGAGCUCAUGUAUCCUUAUUAAGUGUGUUAAUGUUAUUUAUGUGUUACUUGAACUUCCUUAUUUUAUUUCUCGUACAAAUGUCAUUGUUACUUAACUAUGUGUUUGCAUGUUUUCUUGGCCCCUCUGAGCAUCAGCUCAUUUCAUUAGUUUCUUUUUCCUUAAUAGGAGUUCGGAAUGGAAAGAAUUUUGCGGAGAGCCAACUUUUUUACUUUUGAGUAAAAUUUUGGGAUGUAAUUAACUCGUCAACUUAUAGUGGUUAUAUUUUGGGAGGAUUGAUUUAAUUUUGAGAAUUUGUGAUGUAAGACUUGAAAGUCUAUUUAAGGGAGAGACUUCUCCUUAUUUUGACUUUUAUUAUUUGGUUGUGUACUUUUAAGUUUAAAGUUGACUUGUAUCGAGUCCUGGCGAGAGUUGGGCAGACGUUCCGCGGAUACCCUUGGGUUCGCUCUUGGGAGAAGUGGAGGCGUCACAUUUGGUAUCGGAGUUUAGGCUUCUGAUCUCUGUAGUGUAUCUUAAACUAAAAGUUUAGGAUACCAGACUAUGGACUAGUUUAAAAGUUAAGUAACUGUUCAUAGGGAUGAAAAUCAGAGCGCUAGGUUAAAGAUCUAUUUGGGAGAUGUAUUAGAGACUUUACCCUGAAGAAUAGAAACAAAAUAACUUAUUUAUACUUUAAAUGAUGUUUGAGCGAAUUAGUGACUUUAAGUUCUAACCUAGAAUUUGUGGUUGUUUUGUAGAGAUGGAGAACGGUAAUGGAGGGCAUGUUGCCAAUGGUAAUGGGCAUACUAAUGGCCACAUGGACUCUCUUAGGCCUAUCUACUAUCGAGCACUUGGUGGAGGAGCUCGCGUUCGAUUCUCGCCUUCCUCUAAAUUUUCCUAUUGUCCCUAUAAGGCGACGCAUGUUUAUCCUAAUGACCUCGUAUUGUCCAUUGACGAUGAGCGACGACAGUUAGUAAAUACUAACAGAGCCUUACUCCAGGAGAUCGAGGAGUUGGGCACUAUGGUGGAUACUCAGGGUGCUAGGAUUAUGGAGCUAGAGGGGAUAGUGGUAGACGAGUUGGUUAGGGUUGAGGACGCUCGUGAUGAGUUUCAGAUGACUAGGGUUCGACUCGCUACGGUAGUCGAGGAGGUCCGAAAUCGGGCUGCUGGGAUUCUAGAUGACUUCACUAUGCUAAUAAAGGAGGUGAUGGACGCUAUUCAAAGUUCGGUUCCUAAGGGCACCCCUGAGAAGGAGCCUUUCAAGGAAGAUCCGGAGAAGGACCCAGAGGAGGAGGUUCUGCCUGACGGUCCUGCUGAGGAUUAGGUUUGGAGUGAUGAAUCUUUUGAUUUUUGUAGCUAAGAUUAGCUGGGGUGGUGCUAGUUCAAAGGUCAUUGUAUUUUGCUUAAUUGUGUGGCCUACUUUUGAAGCACUUGAAUCUACUUUUGUCGUGCAUGACUAAAUAUACUUUUGUGGCACCUGUGUGCUAUAUUUUAUAAAUGCCCCGUGACUUGCUAAUUGUACGAACAUUAAAGUGUUAAUAUAUGUUAGUUACUGUUAUUUCCAAUGUUUUUCAUAUUGUCUUUUAUUUUAAAUAUUUUCUCGCGUAAUUAUUUUAUUUCUUGCAUUUAAACAUAACUAGGAUCAUGGAUGGACGAAAAAGCGAUAGAGGUCGAGGGCGUAGGGUUAGGUAACCCCAACCUCAAAGAGAUGAUCAAGAAUCGGCAACUGGGCCGACUCAAAGACAAGGAAAUGUAGAGAGUGACCAAGUGGCUAUUGCCAUCAACCGCAUAACGGAUAUUUUAGAGCGAUUAGCAGAGCGAGAAGGUCCAGAACCUAAUAACUAAUUUGGGGCUCAGGAUAGAGGGGAUGAUAGGGAUUUGGAGAGAUUUUUGAAAUUUGCCCCACCUAAAUUUAUUGGAGGGUCUGAUCCUAAAUUAGUGGAGAACUGAUUGGAGAGAAUGACGAAUAUAUUUGCUGCCCUAAACUAUACUGAAGAGAGACAAGUGAACUUUGUUGCCUUUCAAUUUGAGCGUGUAGCACGUGUUUGGUGGGACAUGAUAAAGGAAAAAUGGAAAAGAGCGCAGACCCAUUGAACUUGGGAAAACUUCACAAGGGAGUUUAAUGAGAAAUUUCUUUAGCCCUUAAUUCAAGAGAAAAGGGAGGACAAAUUUAUAAAGUUGAGGCAGGGAGCUUUUUGUGUGGCGGAAUACAAUGGGAGAUUUACUAAGAUUUCUAAGUAUGCUCCGGAAUUGGUGACUAAUGAGCGAAAAAAGAUAAGACGUUUUAUGCAAUGACUUAAUGUGGAGAUUCAGAAGGGGUUAACGGCAGUCCAAAUCUCUACAUUUACUGAAACCUUAAAGAAAGCACAGAGAGUCGAAAGUGCAAAGCUGCAAGUUAGGGACUUUCAUGCUAAGAAAAGGAAUACUCCUAAUUACUCUUCUGGACAAGCAAGUAAAAAUGCCCCACCUCCCAAGAUGGAAAGAGGAACGGGAGGAGUAAGGACUACUAGAGUACUAAGAGGGGCUUUAGCAACAGGAGGCCGUAAUGGGUAAGGUCAAGUGAGAGGGACACCUCCUAGUAGAUAGGUCAUGACUUCUCAAGUUAGUUGUAGUUAUUGUGGCAAGUCCAACCAUUCGGAGAAUGAUUAUUGGAGAAAGUCGGGAAAGUACUUAUAUUGUGGUAGUGCUGAGCACCAACUCUCAAGUUGUUCAAGUGUACCGAAGGUAGGAGGUAGCACUUAAAGGCCAGAAAAGUCAAUCUCUAAGCAGACUAGUGCUAAAGAGAGUCGACCAAAGGUGUCGGCUAGGAUUUAUGAUUUGGACUAUCAACAGAUUCCUGAUUCAACUGAGGUGGUUGAAGGUACGAUCCCUAUUUUUCACCGUUUAACUAAGGUUUUAAUUGAUUCUGGUGCGACACACUCUUUUGUGAACGCUAACUGUGAGAACCCUAGAAUUUGCAUAUUUCCUUAGUCUAUUGUUUCUUCUCCUUUUCUCCUCUUAAGUGCAAAAUUUGUUAACUAAUCGUUGGAAACAAAGGAAGGCCUAGUUGUUAUGUGCAUUUAUGUAGGAAAUAUGUAUGUAAGUGUAUGUGUUAGAAGUACGUUUGAGCGCGACAAUUGAAUUCGGAAAAAGAAAAAAAAAAGAAAAAAAGGAAAAAAUUUUGGAAAAGUGAAGUGGCCAAAUCCGGCCGGAUUGCCCUACAUUUUUGAAAAAAAAAAUGUUUCGUCUCGGCCUCAUAUCCGGCCAAGAAUCCGGCGGGAAAUCCGGCCAGAUUCUGGCCGGAUUGUGACGUGUCACAGCCGGUCAGAGGCUUUGACCGGCUGUUUCUUUCAUUCUUAUCCCACUUUUUUGGUCCAAAAUAUCUCAUUUCUUCCCUGUCCAGCCGUGAGCUUUGAGAGCAAAGGGAGAAAAACUCUUCAAUCUUCAUCUUUGAUUUUUGCUUCAAUCUUGGAACUUCACCAAUAGAUUUUUAAUUCCCUCCAUACAAGUGAGCUUCUUGGAAGGUUAAAGCUUUUGGGUGGAGUGAUUUUUAAAGGGGAGCUUGGAUUUGCUAGUCUUCUUGAGUUGUGAGGUAAGAUGAUUAAGAAAGUUCUCUCUUGCAUUGAUAAUGGUUAAAUUGUGAAGUGUAAGGGUUGGACAUGUCAUUUUGUGAGUUAUAUCUUGAUUCGGGGUGAUUUAUGGUGAAGUUUGAUAUUUAAUUAUGAUUUUUCUGUUUGCAUAUGAUUUUGUCUAAGUGGUCAUAUAUAAUGAAUGGAAAUGUUAUAGAAUGAGGCUAGUUAGUGUGAAUGAUGGUUAAUUGCAAGAAAAUGUUGUUUGGAAGGAAAUUUAGAAAACUUAGGGCUUCAUUGUCUUCAAUUCUGGCCGGCACUGUUCACCCUAGUUAGAGGCCGAAUUGGCCUUUGCUUAAAACAUGAAAGUUGUAGGUAUUGAUGUGUUAGAGGGGCCUGUAAAAUUUCAGGUCAUUUGGAGUAGUGUAGAGUGAGAAAAGUCGAAAAUACCCCUGCUGCCCUGGUUUCAUCCGAACUUGGGAGUUGCUUCUGUAAUUGGCUAGGAAUACUUCUGAACUAGUAGUUGAGGUCUUUUGAUUAAAUGUACCCUGAUGUUCUAGCUAUCUUAUGGCUUUGGAAUCAAUGGAUUUGGACCUAGGUAGACUGAAUUGUAGUUCGUUAACCAGAACGUGGUUUGUCCAUCUGCUUUUGCGAUUCUGAACUAGUGUCUUGUAGUUUUGACCUAGUUGUAUUACAAACUGGACUGAGUGACCUUCUACAUUAUUGUAGCCCUGUCUCUUAGCUUCGAAACGGUGGGUCUUACACCCUAAUCCAAUAAUCGGAAGUGCCUUUAGUGCCAUUCCCGCAAAAUGAUGUCAAGCAUUGUUUUAUCUGAAAAUGUUUCUAGCUUGCUUUUCAUAGUUGUUGUUGUAUUUAUAUGACUUUAAGCCUAGUGAACGGCUUUUGGACAUGAGAUUAUUCUAUACGACAUGUUGGGACUGAUUUGAGAAAAAUAAUGAAACCAUUAAUGGCUGGAAAAAUAGGUAAACACAAGGGACAUGCCGUCUGUUUAUUUUCUUAUAAAUUGAAUAAGUUAAAGUGGUUUUUGGAAAUGUAAUUUGUAUCAAAUUGAACGUAUUUCCUUGGAAGUAUCUUCAGGUCUUUGAAUAAGGGUUCAAAGACUAAAUUUCUAUUCGAACUCGUAUAUUGUCUUUUGGCAAAUAAUGGAACCGUUUUAUCUUUUGAAAACAUGAUACCCCUUUCGUUCAAACUUCAAAUGGUCCUUAAGCCUUUCCAACCUAUAGAGGUAGGAGUUCGGGUUAUAUCGGCCAUAAGUGCAUUGUUUCUAAGCAAGGUUUUAAGUGUGGAAGUUAAGGUAUUUUGUCCUCUUUUCACAUGAUUUUUAUCAAGGCUUCGGUCAUUUCUUGGCCACUUGAAUAUAUAUGCUUUUGAAUCACAUAAGCAAUUCCGAAAGAAUGUUUUCUUAACCCUCUUGGUUUGGAUUGCAUUAGGGUUAUUCUUGUUCACGGAUCCAAAUGCCUCUUUACACUUUGAAAGUCUUUUAUUCGUUUACUUGCGAGUAGUCGGGUAUUUCUUGAUUGCAUCGAAAUCAUGUUAGAUGGAUUGUAAUGUGGUCUUUGUGUCAUUUUAGGUUUCAUUGGUGAUUGAGAAGUGGGCGUUAUUUUGCGUGUCUAGGUGAGUAUUCCUUAUUUGUUAUAUUUCCUGAUUAUAUGGCUUGUUUGAAUGAUUGAUAACAUGUUAAACGCUUUCAAUGAUUGCUAGAACGAUUUUCGAGGCGAGUGUGUACUUUACCGCACUUAGCCUGAAUGAUUGUGAAAUUUUAAUGAUUGAGCGAUUGAAAUGUUAAUUGUGCAUGAAUGUAGGCCUUCGGGCUGAACUGGCCAUUGCCCCUUGUUACCGGUCGUCUCGAGCCAGUCGGACUCGGUCGAGCGAUUAGGAACUUGGGUGAACGAUCUGGUAUACUCGAGUAUUACCCUGUAGGUUGGUGGAGCCUGGCCAAAAGCCAGGGACGGGGUGAAUGAAAUGAAUGAAUGAAUGAACGAGGGGUUUUACUUAUACAAAAUGCAUUUUCAAAUGAUUGAAGGAAGGAGGGAAGGAGAAUGAAUGAAUGAAUGAAUGAACGAUUAGCUCCUUGUGAGCCCGUAUCCUUUUAAUGAAUGUGUUUAUCGCUUAUUGUACUUGUAUCGUGAAUUGUUGUUUACAUGCAUUUGUUUCUCUUGUUGCCUAUGUGUACGGAACCUCACUGAGCUUUCCAGCUCAUCCCUUUAGUUUUUGUUUUUCUUAGCAGAGGAAGACGUGCGAGGACGGAAGCUACGAAUAGAUUAGCCAUUGUAGUACUUUGGUUUCUUUUGUAAAGGUUCUCGCCCUAGUGCUUGACACGGUCUGGUUGUAUGGUGAAUUGAGAACCUAUAUUUUGACAGUUGUACUUCCUUUGAGACAGUAAUGUAUAUAAGUUCACGUUUAAGUUUGGAAUUAUUGUUAUUUCGAUUGUUUUGUGGAUUUUCUUAUCUUUUCUUAUAGUGACUGACUGAGUCCCGGCGAGAGUUGGGCAGGCGGUCCGCCGAUACCCUGGGGUAAGCCCUAGGGAGAAGUGGGGCCGUUACACUAACUUUAUGAGUGGGAUAGAUGUGAAAUCAAUUAAGUUACCUUAUAACUUGGAGAUUAGAACGCCUACUGGGGAUCAAAGCUUAGUUGCUAACUUGGUAUAUAGGGAUUGUGAAAUAUGGGUUGGAGAAUGGAAAUUACUGGCCGAUUUGAUGAGUUUAGCUAUUAAGGGAUAUGAUGUCAUUCUAAGAAUGGACUGGUUAGUUCGUUACCAUACUCAGUUGAAUUGUAAGAUGAAAACGGUAGAGCUGUGUAUUUUGGGAGAGGCAACCCUAAAAUUGGAUGUAAGGGGAAGACUGGUCUCAUCUGCUCUUAUUUCAGAGAUUUGAGUUAGAAAAAUAUUGAGUAAGGGAGCUCAAGCAUAUUUGACUUUUUUGAUAAAUACUUCUAGUGAUAAAGUGAAGUUGAAAGAUAUGCCCGUAGUAAAGGAGUAUCCAAAUAUUUUUUCUGAAGGACUAGAGUCUUUAUCUCCAGAAAGAGAGAUAACUUUUAAGAUUGAUAUGACUUCGGGAGUAGUACCUAUCUCUAAAACAUCUUAUAGAAUGGCUCCGGCUGAAUUUAAAAAGCUGAAAUUGCAAUUACAGAAUCUUCUAGAGCGAAACUUUAUAAAAGAAAGUGAUUCACCGUGGGGAGCUCCGGUGUUGUUUGUCAAAAAGAAAGAUGAGAGUUUAAAUUUGUGCAUAAACUACCGAGACUUGAAUGACACUACCAUCAAGAAUAAGUAUCCUCUAUCCCACAUUGAUGAGUUAUUUGACCAAUUACAAGGGGCGGUAGUAUUCUCAAAGUUGGAUCUCAAACAAGGUUAUUAUUAAUUGAGAAUUUUGGAAAAAGAUAUACCUAAAAUUGCUUUUAACUUGAGGUACGAACACUUUGAAUUUGCAGUAAUACUAUUUGGAUUAACUAAUGCACCUGUAGCUUUUAUGGAUUUAAUGCACCGAAUCUUUAAACCUUAUUUAGAUCAAUUUGUAGUGGUGUUUAUUAAUGAUAUAUUGGUGUAUUCUAAAACUCUGGAGGAUCAUGAGAAACAUUUGAGAGUUGUUUUGCAAACUUUGAGGGAACAUCAGUUGUACGCUAAGUUUAGCAAAUGCGAAUUUUGGUUGAGAGAAAUAACUUUCUUAGGUCAUAUAAUUUUCAAUGACGGAAUUAAAGUGGAUCCAGCCAAAGUUGAAGCAGUUUCUAAAUGGAAGCAAUCAGAAAACCCUACUGAAGUUUGAAAUUUUAUAAGAUUAGCAGGGUAUUAUCGGAGAUUUAUCAAAAAUUUUUCUAAGAUUGCGGGACCUAUGACUGAGUUGACUAAGAAAAAUGAGAAAUUUAUUUGGAACCCUAUGUGUGAAGAGAGUUUUCAGGAAUUAAAAAGACGUUUGACAAUGGCACAUGUAUUAGUUUUACCGAAUGGAAAGAAUAGCUUUGUGGUCUAUACGGAUGCUUCAAAAGAAGGUUUGGGAUGUGUAUUGAUACAAAAUGAUAAGGUGAUUGCAUAUGCUUUUAGGAAAUUAAAACCUCAUGAGAGAAAUUACCCAACUCAUGAUUUGGAGUAAGUGGCGGUAGUGUUUGCAUUAAAGAAGUGGGGGCAUUACCUUUAUGGAGUGACGUUUGAGGUUUUUACCGACCACAAGAGUUUUAAGUAUUUGUUUUUCUAAAAAGAGUUGAAUUUGAGACAACAUAGAUUGGUGAAAUUUUUAGAGAAUUAUGAUUGUACGAUCAAUUAUCACCCAGGGAAGAUCAAUGUAGCGGUCGAUACUUUAAAUCGUCAAGUGUAAGUGGCAGAAUUGAUGAUUAAAGAAUUGCACUUGUUAGAAGAUGUUAGUGUUUGGAAUCCUCGUCUCGAACUGAGAAAAGCGAUUUUGAAAAUAUUGUCGUGAAAUCCACUCUGUUGGAACGUAUCAAGGAAACUUAGGAGAAGGACGUGGAAGUACAAAAGUGGUUGGAAAAAGUUAAUAAGGGAGAAAAGUCAAAUUUUAACUUGAGAACAAAUGGUGUACUAAGAUUUCGGAAUCGUAUAAUAGUGCCAAAGGACGAAGGGUUUAAGAAGGAAAUUUUGGAAGAAGCACACCGAUCUAAGUACACGGUACAUCUUAGAGGAAAUAAAAUAUACCAAAACUUGAAGAGUUUGUACUGGUGGGAGAACAUAAAAAAGGAAAUUGCUCGAUUUGUCCAAACUUGUUUGAUUUGCCAGUAGUUAAAGCCGAGCAUCCGAAACCAUCUGGCCUAACCUUUAGAGAUACCCGAGUAGAAAUGAAAAAAUAUCACUAUGAAUUUUGUAUCUGGGUUGUCAAGGACGAAAAGAGGUAUCACUAUUAAUUUUGUAUCUGGAUUGUCAAGGACUGAAAGAGGUCACAAUACUGUUUGGGUAAUAGUAGACAUGUUAACCAAAUCUGCUCAUUUCUAUCGUUUAGUAUGAAGUACUCACUGGAGAAGUUAGCUAAACUGUAUUUGGAUGAGAUUAUAAAGUUAUAUGGAAUACCUGUAAGUGUUGUAUUUGACCGAGACCCUCGGUUUGUUUCUCGGUUCUGGCGAAAGACGCAAAAAAUGUUAGGAACCAAGUUGAGUUUUAGUACUACUUACCAUCCCUAAACUGAUGGACAGUCUAAGAGGACAAUUCAGACUCUUGAGAACAUGUUGAGAACCUGUAUUUUAGAUUUCGGAAAGAGUUGGAAUAAGUACUUGACAUUGGUGGAAUUUGCUUAUAAUAAUAGUUUCCAUUCAUCCAUUCAAGUGACUCCGUCUGAAGCACUUUAUGGCCGGAAGUAUAGAUUUCUGAUUUGUUGGGAUGAAAUAGGUGAACGAAAGAUUUUAGACCGAACUACAGUGUCUUGGAUUGAAGAGGCACGAGAAAAGGUGAAGUUAACACGCCAGAGGAUUCAAACCACACAGGGUCGUCAAAAGAGUUAUGCAGACAAUCGAAAGAAGGAUUUGGAGUUUUUGGUUGGAGAUCAAGUUUUUUUUAAGAUCACUUCUCUAAAAGCAAAUCUAAUGGUAGGAAAAGGAAAGAAGUUGCAACUUAGAUUCGUAGGGCCUUAUUAGAUACUAUAACGUGUGGGAAAUGUGACCUAUAAGUUGGAACUGCCAUCAAAUUUAUCUCAGAUUCAUAACGUUUUCCACAUAUCUAUGCUUAAGAAAUAUCAUUCAGAUCCGUCUCAUGUGCUGCAACCGGAAAAUAUUGAAAUUGAUGAGACACUGACUUAUGAGAAGAGACCAGUGAAGCUUCUAGAUCGUAAGGUGAAGGAACUAAGAAAUAAAUGAAUCCCUUUAGUAAAAGUCCUUUGGAGAAAUCACGGAGUAGAAGAAACAACUUGGGAAGUAGAGGAGGAGAUUCGAAAGAAGUACCCAGACCUAUUUCUAGAUCAAGGUAUGAAUUUCGUGGACGAAAUUUUUUUAAGGAGGAGAGGAUGUGAGGACUCGUUUUUUUUUUAAAUAAUCAUUUUUAUAAUUAUUUGCCUUAGAGUUAGUUAACUAUAUUUUAGUUGCAUGAAUUGCCCUUAAAUUUCACUUUAUCAUGCGCGAGUCAAAAGUUCGCGUAUUUCGUGUCGGAACGACUAAGUGGAGAUUUAAGAAAUUAAUACUAGACUAGUUAAAGUGAGUUAUUACAAUGUUAAAGGAAAUACCUUGGAAAAUUAGUGCAUGAGUGUAUCAAACCCGAGAGAAAUUGGUGGUACGAAACCCUAUUCCAACAACUAUUCAAAGUUGACUUUUGGCAAGUUUAAUGCCUACUUUUCCCUCCAAUCUUCCAAGACAAACCACAACACACAAUUUUCUCAUUUCUCUCUCUCCAUUCUAGGCCAACACAAGAAAAGAAAAGGGAAGGAAGAACUUCAUCUCCUAGCUUCCAUUUCACUCACAAAUUUUCUACCAAAUCACUCACAACUUGGAGUACCACUCUAGCUAGGAGCAAGAAGCAAUCUUGUGAAAUUUCUUGGAGAAAAUUUCGGUGAAAAAUCUGGUUUUCUUCAAGGGUUAAAGUGUGAGGACUCGCAAAAUUUACUUAUUUAAUCUCCUAUUUCUAACUUAUUUAAUUAUUUAUUUGGCCUUUUGCUCCGAAUAUUAUUUUCUAAGCUCUUGAGACCUAAUUACAUGAAAAUAUAGUUUCAUUAUAUUUUUAAAAUGACUUGUUUCAAAAAUUAAUUUCCGGAAGCUCGUUUAGUGAAAAUAGUGAACACGUCUUUGGAAAUCUUGAUCGAUUGAGAGUACAAUAGGUUUGAAAUAUUGGAGACAUGUACAAUGGACCUAAAUUAGGCAUUUUAAUGUUUAAAUGCUCAAGUGAUAGUUAUUAGUACUAUCGUUAUAAGAAUUUUUCAGAAAUUUCGUCUUAUCGCGCAUAAAUUGGAAGUACGCGUUUUUACGCGCGCAAUUAAUUUAGGAACUUUAGACCCUUAUUUUGGGACCAUUAAGAGUGAAUAAUAUUUAUAUGAAUAUAAGUGCAUUAGAGGUUUAGUGCACUAGUGAAACAAAUGCAAGAGAAAUCGAGCACAAAACACAGGAGAGUUUACUUUUGGAGCAUUUUGGGCCACACAUUCUUAAGCUUCUCAUGGGUGCAUCACACUAGAUCAAAACCCUUCAAUUCAUCACCCAAAAGUGGCGUGAAACACUCUUCCUCUUUGCUUCCAAAACAGCCGUGCAUCAAGAGAAGAAAACAAUACCAAAGUUCUUCAUUUUUCUUCAUCAAAUCCUCACCAAACUUUCACUAAAUCAAACAAAAACUGAACCACACAUAGCUAAUCACUUGGUGACCAACUUAAGCUAGAAAAGAGGCUCGAUUCUCACCAUUUUUCUCAGCUUUUAGAGGCCAAAAAUUUCUGCUUAAGCCAUCAUCAAAGGUAAUUAUCGAUCAAACCUUCAAAUCUUGAUUUAUGGAAGUAGUAUUGCACUUAUGAGCUUGAAAUUCCUUGUGGGUAACUUUGUUUAUGUUGGAAAUUGUUGAGUGGGCUCUAUGAACUCCCACCUUUAUCUUGGGGACUGAUAUCAUGCUUGAUGAUGAAAUUAAUGGUGGUUUAGUGCUUAAAUUAGUGGAUUAAUGUUGUAUUGUUGGUAGAAAAUCAUAGGAGGUGCUUGGAGCAAAAGUGACCGUUUUACCCCUGCUUUGUCCGACCAUUUUUGUGCACAAUUUUGAGGUUCUAAUGACUUGAUUAUGUUUUUUACAUGUUAGUGUGAGUGUGUACAAAUUUUCAUUGAAAAAUAACAUGAUUUGGUUGGUCAAAUGAGUUGAUUUCCAAAGUUAGCAAAACUGGAAAAUGAAUCCCGUAUUGCCCAGGCAGUCAUUUUGUAUCGGCCAUAACUCUUUCCUCCGAUGUCGAAAUUAAGCGCCGUUUGCGGCACUGGAAACUAGACAUUCCCAGCUUUCCAUUGGUACCAAAUUCACGUUCUGGUUCCACUUGAGUGAGCCACACCAUUCGUUUGAAAAUCACUACCCUGUUUCGUUGCUCUCCAGGAGACAGGACAGGACUUGUAUCUUGAUGCUCAAAAACGAGCUGUUUGUGGAUAGAAUUUCAAAAUGGUUUCUUCUGAUAAAAUUCAGCUUUAUGAGAGAGCUUUCCAACGCCAUCAACCACGCUCAAUUCCAAGUUGAAUUGAGUGAGUUGUGGCCAUAUUUCAAAACUGAUGCAGUGAGUAAAAAUCCUCUUUUAACUAGUUAAAUGGCCUAUCUUGACUUGGGACUUGUCAUUCGAACUUUUUGGUAUAAAUCACCUACCAAAUACAGCUUGGAUGUUUCUUAGACAUUAUCUAUGCAAAUGAACCAUAUUUGAGAGGUUUAGUGGCCAAAUGUUUGAGAAAAGGAAAACAAUGGUACGAGGCAGAUUGCCUUGGAAAUUCUUGAAAACUUCAACAGUUUUGUUAAUUGACUUUUCGUGCUAGAUUUUGGUUGAAAAUUUGCAGAGGAAUAGCCCCUAUAUGGUAGUGUAAUACUGCUAAAUUUGGUGCCGUUCCAAGUCCGUUUCAAUGUUCAACGAACGUCCCAAAGUCAGUGAUUUAAAUCUGGAAAAUAGGCCAACGGUCUCAAUUUUAGCCAACUUUGAGCUGCUAUAUCUUGGCACUCAAAACUUUGAUUCUUGUUCCGUUUAUUUUGUUUUAAACUUUGAUUGUAGCUCUAAUUGAGUUUUAAAUUUUAGAGGCUAGUUCGUAUUGUGUGAAUUUUGCUGGAUUUUCAAAGUUGGUCAAAAACCAACCCCGAAACUGUCAUAAUGGUCCCAAGCAGCAACUUUGAGUCAAUUUUUGAAUAUCUUCCGUUUGGAAUCAUGGAAAAGUAUCUUCUAGGAACUUUUAGUGCUUUUGAAGAAGUUUCCAACGGUAUCAAGCUUUCUAAUUAUGGACCUACAUAGUGCAAGAUACGAUUUUUCUAAAUUGACACCCAAAGCUGAAAUUUGUCAAUUUCUUAGAAAAUGAGAUUUUGGAAACUUGCCUUCUUUUCUCGAUACCGAUUGAACAUCUUGAACUCGAUUUCAUGGAAACUGUUAGUCUCUCUCUUUAGACUUUAAAACUUUACUCUUGAACCUCGAUUUACGAGUAAUUGAGGUUCAUUUUCAUAAGAUUUUCUUAGAUUGCAGUAGCGUACAAUCUUUCUCGAUAAUUAGAGAUUCGUAGUGAUAUUGAGUGGUACUUGAUUAUUGUUUACUCAGGCACUCGAGGGAAUCUCCAAGAGGAACUCGGAGCGGACACCUAAACGCUUGUUUGAAAACUACUCGCUUGUUUUGACUAGGUGAGUGUUCCAUAUAGGAAUACGUAAUUGAAUAAGUUUAGGACACACUUAUUUCAUGAUUAUUAAGUGUUAAGUACUAUGUGUUAAGUAUUUACCAUACUCAUGCCUAUUUAAGGAAUGUAUACUUGCAUUGUAUAUCUACAUGAAUUGGUUAAACGAUUAACCAUAUCAAAUGACCAUAUGAACUCGAUACAUGCUUAACUUGCUAGAUUGUUUACUUAACCUACUUGAUUUUGAGAAAUGGAGUCGAGUGUGUACUUUAUCGCACUCGUUCUCUUUUGAGAUGAAUAACUCAUGCUUGGAAAUGCUCGAAUAACAUGACUUGGUAUGCUAAGGUUGCAUACGUCGUUGGAGUGAAUCUCCUCGACUCUCACAUGGUAAAAAUGGGAUAACGGCCAAUGAUGGCCUAUUCAUAUGACAAAUGCCUGUCAAUUAACCGUCACUAUUUAACCGUUAACCGUUAACCGUCAACCGUUAACCGUGAACCGUUUACCAACCACAUGACUACUUGAUUACUUGACUAUUUGCUCACAUGAUUUCCAAUCUACAUGACUAUUCGAUAUCCGUGAAUUACAUGCUCCCAUGAAAUCAACUUGUAUUGCUUACGUGCUUACGUGCUAAGUAUCUAAUUGAUUAAUUGAUUAUCAUGAAUCACAUGUUAUAUGAAGCUGUCCAUCAUUAUUAGGCGAGUGUGUACUUUAUCUCACUCGACCUACUCAAAUGAUGAAUUUUUCCUUUUGUCGAAUUACUUGGUUACCUAUGCAUGUUGUAAGCUCUAAGCUGAACUUGGGCCCUGCCCUUGGUUACUGACCUACUCGAACCAGGACUGGGCUCGGUCGGGUAGGUUGAAACCCUGGGCCACCGUUUCGGUAUACUCGAGUAUUACCACUGGAGGGAUAAGGCGAUGGCCAGACCGUACCGUGGGGAUCGGAAGUCAUAAGGUGUAGAUGACCGACAGAGUUCCACUGGAACACCGUAUCCUACAGUAUAUGUUUACCUGGUAUCAUGAUAAUUGUUUCAUGCUAAAAUGCCAAUAUGAAAUCCUGAGCUAUGCCUGUAAUAAGCUCCAAUCACUCGUGAACUAUACAUGCCAAUGUCUUGAACCAUAAUAACUGUCUCAUGAUAAAUGUCUCAUACCAUGAUAAUGUCUCAAAUUACCCGUACAAUGAUUAUCACCUCAUGAUAACAUGCCAUUGUGUAACCUUGAACCAUGCAUAUGAUAUGCCCAAUCUACUUGAUUUAUUUGAACUGUUAGAGUGUCUUGGAACCUCACUGGGCUGUAUAGCUCAUCCCACGUUGUGGUUUUCUUUUACAGGGUUCGAGACCAAUGGUGCUCGUGAGUAGUACUAGAUUGUUUUCUUUUGAAAACUUUAAUUUUAUAUUAUAACGGAUGGUUAUUGUACCCUUUUCCGUUGGGUUGUAUUUAAGCUUGAAAGCUGCAUAAUUGUAAGUGUAAGAUAUUUGAAGUACUUUAAUUAUGUAUUGAAGUUACUUAAGGUAUUUCGGGCUUUUGAAUGAUGGAUUGUAGUGAGUCCUGGCGAGAGUUGGGCAGGCGUCCCGCGGAUACCCUUUGGUUCGCCUUAGGGAGAAGUGGGGGCGUCACAUAAAGGGUAAUCACUCCACCCCUCUUACCUUUCAAAUUAUAAGAAGUUUAAAGGUUAAUCUCCAUAGGUUUGAAACCCUAACCGCGUAUUAGGCUAGCAGAUUUGAGGAACCAUUUAUUUCGCUUUAAAUCAUAGGUUAGUUAUUUUGAUGAGGCCUCUAGGUGGCUGACUUGAGGCUUGAUUGUUUGAUUAUGAUUGUUUAUGUGAUAUAUAGCUUGAUUAUGGUUAGAAAGUAGAGAGAAAUCGAAAGAAAGUUGUGAAGGCAAGCUAGCCGAAAAUUCUAUCCAUGUUGUUCUGUCUUUAUUUCGGAAUUUUGAUACUUGGUUGGCUGCGAAAUUGAUCGAUAUAUAUUGUAUAAUGUGUAUACAAAGUGCCUUUCAAAAAUUGUAUCGAAUGGUUGCACAAAACUUGAGUUUUGGAAAAGUUUCAAAUCUGGAAAACGUAUAGCAGGGUACCUGGACAGUAAGUCUUUGUCUAAACAUAACUUUUUGUGCAAAGGUCGAAAUUGAGUGCCGUUAGUGGCAUUCAAAACUAGACAUUCAGAGCUUUCAACGGUAUAAAAAUCUGCUUCUAGUUCAUUUUGAGUGAUCCGUAGCGAAUCAACAAAUUCGGCUGUUCUGCUUUGCCUAUGUGUUCGAAUGAAACUGGAAAGCUACAUGUUGUGGCUCGAUUUUUUCGCACUUGUGAAAAGAUUUUCAAAACAAAUCUGAUAAAUUGUAGCAUUUUGAACUUAAUUUCCAAUGUCAUAAACCAUUCUCAAUUUAGAGUUGUAUAGAGCUAGAUAUGGUUUGAUUUUGAAAACACGACAAAGCUAGAAAUUGGAAGAUUUUCCCUUCCUUGCUGACCAAAUGGUCAAAUCUGUUUUGGGAUGUUAUAUUUUGAAAAUCUUAGUGUCAUUUAACCAUCAAUUGCUUAUUAAAUGGUUUUGGAACCUUGGUUUAAAAAAUGGAGUGAAUUGGGGCUGAUUUUAUUGGACAAAACUUUUGGAAAAGAAAAAGAAAUAGAAUGGCAGAUUCACUUUGAAAGAUUUCACCAACUUUGGUCGUUUCGUUAACUGCCUUUCCGUGCAAGUUUUUGUCUAAAUUUCUAUAGAGAGGUAGUCCAUAUAUGGAGGUUUAAGUGUACCAAAUUUGGUGUUAUUUCAAUACCAUUUCAAUAUCCAGAUGAUGCCCCAAAGAUUGCUCUUCAAAUUUGUAAAUUCACUGUUCAAGUCGUGAAAAUCAACCGACUUUAAAUUGUUAUAUCUUGUUGCUCAAAACUCCAAAUUUAAUUCUGCUUGUUGUGUUUGAAACUUUAAUUGGGAGUCUUAUUGUGUUACAAAUUUCAAAGGUUGAUUCCCUUUCUGUGAAUUUUACCGAAUUUCCAAAUAUCACCGAAAACCAAGACUGGUUAUGUCUUGUCUUCUUGAAUCAGCAACUUUGAACUAAAAAAUGAAUGCUUUCUGUUUGAAAUCUUAAAAAGGUGUCUUCUGGGAACUUUUAGUAUUUUGGAUCUAGUUUCCAACGGUAUAAAUUUUCUAUUUUUGCACAUACGAAACUCAAGCUCCGAUUUUAUCAACUUUAUCGCGCAAGCUGAAAAUUCAUGAUUUCUUGGGAAAUGAGUUUUUGAGAACUUUUCAUUGUCUUUCAAUAUCGAUCAUCCAUUUUAAACUCAUUUUCAUGGAGGAUACAAGUUUCUCUUGUGACUUUAAAUGUUCACUUUUGAAUUUCGAUUUUCGAGAUAUUAAAACUCUUUUAAGACAUUGUCUUAGUAUUACGCAAGUGUACAUUCUUCCUUAUUUGGCAAGGGGUUUGUAAGUAUUUGUGAGUGAUAAUUAAUUGUUAUUUCUUCAGACGCUCAAGAGGAUCUUGAAGAGAAUCUUGAAGCCGACCACUAAAGAUCUUAUUUGCACUUUCUCACUUAUUUUGAAUUGAUGAGUGUCAAGUGCAUGAAUAGUUGCCAAUUAUGUAAAUUGCUUCUUAUUGAUUAAGUGAUUAACAAUCGUCGAGUCGAGUGUGUACUUUAUGGCAUUCGUUCUCUUUUAAUUGAUUAUAUAAUUGAAUUGCUCAUAGUUGAAUUUAUAAUUAUGGUUGAAUAUGCCGAUUGGAGUGAAUCUUAUUGGCUUAUAAUUGUAUUUGUUGAUUGGAGUGAACCUCAUCGAUUUAUAAUGGAAAUCGGGGGAUCCCCAAAUCUCAAUUGGCCGACCUUACGACUGGAGCCAGCAUAGGCUUGGUCGAGAAGCUUGGUGAACCAUGAGAUAAUUAAAAGAUGAUCUAUUAAGAGAUCUCGCUUGACAUACUCAUGGAAUAGUGCCUUUUAUAAAAGAAGUGCGAGCCCGGGACAGGGGGUGUAACGGUGAAUGAGAAUUGUAGAGUAAGUGGACUUCUAAGGACUUAAUACCUACCCGGUUUUGACGGAGUGUCAUCCCGUGAAGAUAUUUGAUCGAGUCUUAGCGAAGCGAGUGGAAUCUAGCUCCUGAGAUCUCAUGUAUCCUUAUUAAGUGUGUUAAUGUUAUUUAUGUGUUACUUGAACUUCCUUGUUUUAUUUCUCGUACAAAUGUCAUUGUUAUUUAACUAUGUGUUUGCAUGUUUUCUUGGCCUCACUGAGCAUCAGCUCAUCCCAUUAGUUUGUUCUUCCUUAACAGGAGCUCGGAAUGGAAAGAAUUUUAGGGAGAGCCGACUUGUUUACUUUUGAGUAAAAUUUUGGGAUGUAAUUGACUCGUCGACUCAUAGCGGUUGUAUUUUGGGAGGAUUGAUUUGAUUUUGGGAACUUGUGAUGUAAGAUUUGAAAGUUUAUUUAAGGGAGAGACUUCUCCUUAUUUUGACUUUUAUUAUUGGUUGUAUAUCUUUAAAUUUAAAUUUGACUUGUAUCGAGUCCUGGCGAAAGUUGGGCAGGCAUUCUGCGGAUACCUUUGGGUUCGUCCUUGGGAGAAAUGGAGGUGUCACAAACACUGCUGGUUAUAGGGCUGGCUAUGAUGUUGGUCAAAUUGAUUGUUGAAAUUUUAUGGUUUACUAUACACUAGGGCUAUCGUGUUUUGACCACCUCAAACCUUGUCUAUAAAUACGGGAUGAUUUGAACAAUGAAGGACAUAAUAGCCAAGAGAAAGAACUUUGGAGGCUAGAAACAACUCCAAAACAUGUACUAUUUCAAUUAGAAAUCUUUAGUUCUUUACAUUAUUAUAGGUUAGGUAGUUCUUAUACAAUCUCUGUAUGCAUCUAAACUUGGAUAAAGAUUGAAGAUUGAAGAAGAAGAGAUCGAAUGCUCACAAGUGACAAGAGUUUCUUCUCUCAACUCUUUUGAUUUCUUGUAUUUGUACUUCACUAAUUAGUUGCAAUACAAGAUUGUUGUGUGCUUUCUAUUUCAUUUUAUUUUGCUAAAGUUUAUGCCUUGGAUUGAAUGAACUUUUUAUGAUUGUUAUGUGAUAUUUGCUUGGUUAUUUGAUACUUUGAGCAAGUUAUUUAGAACAUUAACAAUCAUGAUUAACUAGCUAUUAGUUGUGAUUAUAUCAAGGUAUUGAUUCAUCCAUGAAGGUGGGGAUUCAAUCUUAGUUCAAAAAAGUGCUAAACCUAGAUUGUACACUCAUUAAUAUAGGGUUGCAUCUUUGUGGCAUUAGUAGUUUUUUCCAUAUAAUUCAUAGAGUUGAAUAAAUUUAUAGUUAAAUUCAUAUCACGUUAGUAGGUGUGGAGUAGUUAUAGACAUGGUUGGUACACCGACAGAAAGGGUAUCACGUAUAUAAGGAAAUUACGUCAUAACUUAGUCAAGAUAAACGUACUCAAUUAACCAGUAAAAUCACUUGCAAUAAUAAUUAGGAAUUUUGCAUCCCUAGGAGCCUUUUGAUUGUUGUUUUUACUUCCUUUUAUUAUUUAUUCAUAGUAUAGAUCUACUUGCUUUUAAUUGUGGUUGUCUAAGUAAUAGAGGAGUUCGAAAACCACUAGUAUUUGACAAUCUUUCCUGUGGGAUCGACACCUAAUAUAACCUAUAUUCAAUAAUGAUCUAUAUACUUGUAAUAUUUAUGUUUUUAAAAUUUGAAAAGAAGGAAAAAACCUCAUCACCUUCGGCACAUUAUCUUUUGUUGGACUGCUCACUCUUCUGGAUACUUUACAAUCAAAUAUGUAGUUGAAGUGUUAAGUGAGCACACUGAGGAUACUAUUGGUAUGGCUUAAAAAGUAUGCACCAAGAUUUGCUUUUAUAGUUUGGCUAACUUGUCAAAAUAGAUUGGCUACUAAGGAUAAACUCUUCAAAAUAGAGUUUUGUUAUUUAUUAGUUAUGUGGAUGAUGCAACACAUAAUGUAAGAGACACAUACUCUUGAUAAGAUGAAUCCUCUUUCUAGUUUGCCAUCGCAUCCAUCUCCUAUCCCACCUUCUAUUUAGCAGCCGAUCCUACCUCUCACUCCUUCUUCUCUGCUUUUCUUUCUCCUUCCUCUUCCCCAUCAUCCUACUCAUAACCCUAUUGUACCCUUCCCAUUGCUUCAAAUUCAGAUUAGCCCCACAAAAACCUAGAUGCACCUUCAAUACCUACUCAACAAACAAUUUUCUCUUCAUUUGAAAAUUGCCUUCUUAAUUCCCAAUCCAACCAGGAUAAACCUUAUCCUGAUGAUUCCGAGAACGAAGGAGAUAUCUUUAAUCCUCUCUCAAGCAUUUUCUCAAGAGUUGAUAAAUCCUAUAGUUGUAACUUUUGGAACCUCUCUCUCAUUAUCAAACCUUUAGGUACGACCUUAGAUUUUAAAUAUGUCAACUAGUAGCUCCGUGUAAUUUUGAAACCAAUUGGAUGUCUCUCAUUUAGGACAUUGGUUGAGAUUAUUACAUAGUGAACUUCAAGGAGCUCUUGGGUUAUCAAAAAGUUCUGUCAAAAGGCCUGUGAUUCAUCAAUAAAUACUUCAUUGCUAUUAGAAGAUAGACUCCCAACUUCAAUACCUUAGACAACAUUAGUAAUACUACUGUUAUUUGGGUAAGACUCUUAUCUCUCAAUGGAAUAUUAUGUUGCAUAGAUCCUUUCUAAGGUGAGAUAUAUUUUGGAAAAUUUACUAAAAAUUGAUGCUAGAAUAGCUAAGUUAGAAAGGGGGAGGUGAAAAAAAACUAGAAAGAGGGUGCUUUGCAUGCCUGUGUAAAGCUCAAUUUAGAUAAACCUUUGAUUCCAUUUAUCCAGUUGGGAAGAUUUAAACAAUCUUUGCAGUAUUAAGGUUUGUGCUUCUGUUUCUUUGUAGAUUUAUAGGUCACGAUGUGAAAAAAUGUAAGCAAAAUCUACAGGUAGAGAAACCUGAGAAGUCUAUUGAUCUUUGAAAAAUUCUACUUAUGGGCCAUGGAUAUUAGCUGGUUUGAAAAGAAAAAUGGAGUGGUACCACCGAGAGAUCGGAAAAUCUUAACCAAUACAAAUUUCAAAUGAGCCAAAUCGUCUUGGGCUCCACCAUAAAAACCCAAAACCUUAAACAAAGUUCAAAAAACUACAAUUAACCCUCUAGGCCAAACACUUCUUCUUUAGAUCACCUUUCAACCUUGACUCUAGAAUAUAUAUUGACUUUUGAGUAAACAAAACUAUAGUCUAACCCCAAUUUCCCUUUUCAUGUCACCUCAUGUACUUCAUUACCACCUAACUCUUCUAAAUUUUUUUCCAAUAUGGAAAUGGUGUCUACAAAUUCAACAUCGCCCCUUUCUAUAAUUUCAAAGACUCAUGAGUCUUCAAUAUCAAAGAGUGAUGUUAUUGCAAACCUUAGCAAUUCAAAUUAGAACCUUCUCAUCAAAUUAGAUACUCUCUCUAACCUCUAACCUGUGAGAACCCGAAAAUUUAUUUUCAUAUCUUUUAUUUUAACCAUUUGUCUUGAAUUCAUGGUUGAUUUAAUGGUUGAGUAAUGAUUUUUGUAUCAUGUUGCUUCAACUUGUAGUAUGUCGAGUUUCAUGGUGCAUUAUGCUAAUGUGACCAACUAGUGAGGUGAGUGCAAUAAAUUUGGUGGACAAGGAGUUUUGUGCAAAAGGGAUUAUGUGCCAAGAGGUAUUAAGAAUUAAUUGAAGAAGAAAUAGAUAUUUGGGUGCAUUAGAAACAAUUAGAUAGACUUGAGUUAGAUGCUUGCCAUUUGUCACUCAUCUAACCAACCUUGAUUUUGAUCAAAACCAAUACUUAUCCAACCAAGCUUUUCUUUCAUCAUUAUUUCUUCUUCUUUCUUCUUGUCUUGGUUGAAAAUAUGGAGAGAAAAGUGAGAGAAAAACAUAAAUUUUUAACUUUGAUUUCUUGUCUAAUUAAUGAAAAAACAAGAGAAAAAUCCUUAUCCACUCCAUAAAUAUUUGAGGCAAGUUCGGAAGGAAACUCUUGGAGGAGUUUUUGGGGAAAGGAAGCUUUACAACUUUCGUGAUUUGCUUUUCAUACUAGGUUUUAGAGGUAAAAAGGUAAACCGUGUUAGGAAACCUAUCUUUCUUAUCUUAUCUUUGAGUUUAGUUGAUGUAUGAUGUUAUAGAAGCUAAAAGAAAGACUUGUUUUUUGGAGGAUUUAAUGUUUUCUCAAGUUAUAUUGUAAAGUUCCAACUUUGGUGCAUAAAAUAUAUAGUCUAGUUUAGAGUUUAUUUAUGUGCAAUUUUGAUGGAUUCCUUUACCAAGAAUAUAUACACCUCAUGACAUGUUAGCUUUGAUCAAUAGUGUAUUUACCAUGAAAAUAGGGUUGAAAGUUGGAGGUUUAAAUAGAGAAACUUGGGAACAAGUUGCUGCCAAUUCUUCUUUGGUUGGCUGAGAGAGAGAGGGGGAAAGUUUGAGUUGUCAGUUUAGAGUGAUUGUGAUAUGCUUUUGCUCAAGAUACUUAAUACUUUGAUCUUCACAUGUAUGUUGGUUUUGAGCCAAAACAAAGAGAAUUAAGUGGAGAAAAAUGAUUUUUCUCCAAACCAUUUUAUUACUCGAAAUUUCCAGUUUUGAACCUCAAGAGUCUUGUCCUUUUCUUCAAAAUUUUUGACUAUAAUCAAUGUAUUUGUGCUCCAUAUUAUCCUUGAAACAUUGUUUUAGCAUGCACGUUAUUUUUUCCCUUGAUUUGAGCAAUAAAAAUUUGCAAUUUUAGAAGCUAUAUUAGGGUAAAAUCUGUAAAUUGAUGUGUCUUCUAAGUGAAACUUCAAAACUCAAAAUUUUUCAUUUAUAUUUGCUUAGAGUUGAUGGACUCUUGAUGUACUAUAUGAUCACAAGAUUUGAGAGUGUUCAAGAGAAAGAACUAGGCUUUAAAGUGAAAAGAUCAUGAUAUAGUGGUGUGUUCCAACUGCAUGUUAGGACCAUGUGAUUUACUUGAUUAAUGCUUCAUGUAACUUGUUGACUAAAAUUGCUAGAUAUCUUGAAUUGUUAGUGCACAGGCGAGUGUAUAUUUUAUCGCGCUCGUCCUCUGUGAAAUUGAAUUCCAUGAUCUUGAAUGUGCACGAAUAUAGGUCUCAUACAUGAUUGCAUCAGUUGAAUUGGACCCUUCACUGGAAUUCUUAUCCGAGACCCAUCUUAGUGAGGUCAGCUAGGCUGGACAGCCUUGGGUAAAGAAAGGAUUUCUAUUCUGUUUACAAGUGAUCUGGACAAGUGAAAUGCAAUAUUUGAAUGUUGGAUACUCGUGUGCUUUACCCCAACGAUUCCACUGAGUGACUAACUUGACAGUCGAUUGUGUACUUUUACCACAUUAGCUAUACUAUUAUUGGGGCUCCAAAAUCCGAACCCCUUUGGUUAGUUGAUCGAAUCGAGCUAGCGAGCACUUGCUCGAGUAGAUUGACGAACCAUGGGUACUGUUUAUUGAACUUGUACUGGAUUUGGUAUACUCGAGUAUUACCCUUCUUGUUAUAUAUUUAGCGUUCAGGCCUGAUAGGAGGAUGAUCAGUGGAUGGAGAAUGGAGUUAAGCGGUAAUCUACAGGAUAUUAUUACUGUAUUCUAAGGUUGAUGGAGUAUCAACAGAUCCUGGACAAACUACUAUUGAAUUGGCUCGGAAAAACAUACUGUUUCUACUGAACUAACUCACAAGAGUAGACUGUAUCCUUUUACAUGAAUAUGUUAUUGACUGUACAUUGUUAAAUGAUUUAUUUGGAUAUUGCUUGCUUCAUGAAAUAUGUGAUCAUACCAUCAUGUAAAUUUUACAAUACCUGAUAGAUUGUUUGAACGUUUUUUUGGGAGCUCAUUGGGCUUUUAGCUCAUCCCAUUAUUUGCUUUCCUUAACAGGUUGUGGGGAUGAGAGAGAUGAUGAUAGCAAUAAUUUGUAAUAGGAAAUUUGGAUCUUGUAUUUGGCUGACAUACUAUAUUAUGGAACUAGUCUUUUAAACUCUUUUCUUUUGGCUUGUCCUUGAAUUUGAAUAUUUGGAUGAUUUGUGGCAUAUAAAUGUUACAUUGAAGGACUUUAGUGUUAUUGAUUAAGGUUUGUAGUGAGUUCUAGCGAAAAUCAGACAGGCAGUUAGCUACCCUCUGGGGUAUGCCCUAGGGAGAGAUGGAGUUGUCACAUAAUCUCUCCGCUAUCCCUUAUUGGCACUUAUCAUUUUUCAAAAAAUUGGUCACCCUAGAAACUUCUCACAUAGGAGGGCUCUAAGUGCAGAGUCCAUAUUCAAUAAUUGCACUCACCAUCACCACCAUUAUGAUUGUAGACGGGUGAGAAGAACCCUACCUUGCUACCAAUAAUAUCAAGAACCAAUUUCUCAACAACGAACAACCUCUAAUCUUCAUUCUCAGAGAUCUCCCAGCUUGGAAACAUGUCGACACCUACCACAUCCUCAACCCGCUCUUGGCCUUGCAACCAUACGUGACAUGGAAGGACAUCAAAAGGCAAUAAGAAAGUGACAUCUUGGGAAAAAUGCAUCUGUUGGGAAGCAGUAUUGGUGUAGCCAUCACAAUGGACUUCGACCUUACUCGAUCUACUUGGAAAUCAAGCAGACCACUAGAUGCUCUUAUUGCACAGUCCUGUAGGAUAAUUGCUCCAGUGGUAGCUCCAAACCAUUGAUACCA
rnacentral:lncRNA from 1 species